rnacentral:lncRNA from 1 species
UCAAAGCAAAAGAUCUGGUUUUUGUUGUAGAGUUAUUUUCUUCCUUUCUUUCAGAGUCAUGAAGAGACUUGGCAGCUCUGAUUCCCUUGGUGCUUUGAUGUCUAUCUGCCCAACCACAGGUUCUUACAGAGAACCCAUUAAUUUCUCACUUUUUUAAUGCUUCAUGUCAAAAUUUCAGACACAACCCAUGUGGCUUGUCUUCUUCUUUCUGAAUAUAAUCACCUAAAAUUCUAACUAUUUUUUUCCUUUUCAAGACUUGCCUUGCUUUUUAACUUGUCUUUUGCUUUAUUCUCUUGGGUAUAAAGCUUUGAUUCAUCCACUAACUUGUUUGUUCUUUCUUAAUUAUUUGUCUUUAGACGAGCACAGUCCGAGAAACGGCAACCAUGUUUAUGGGAGAGAGUUUCAAUCCAUGUUGGAUAGCUUAGAUGAAGAAGCUUGUGUAGAAGAAUCAGGCCAUGUAUCUGAGAAGAAACGGCGAUUAAGUGUAGAUCAAGUUAAGGCCUUGGAGAAGAACUUUGAGGUUGAAAACAAGCUUGAACCAGAGAGAAAAGUGAAGCUAGCCCAAGAACUUGGCUUGCAACCAAGACAAGUCGCUGUUUGGUUUCAAAACCGCCGUGCCCGAUGGAAAACCAAGCAAUUGGAAAGAGACUAUGGAGUUCUCAAAGCCAAUUACGAAGCUCUCAAGGCCAAUUUUGAGUCCCUCCAACAUGAAAAUGAAGCUUUACUUAAAGAGGCAAGUUGUCAACUCAAUGCUCUUUUUUUAUUUUCCUUACUUAUAAAAGCAAAGCAAGCUGAUCUUUUAAAGAUUGUUUAUGUUGCAGAUAAGAGAACUGAAGGCGAAACUCAACGAAGAGAACACAGAGAGCAAUGUUUCUGUUAAAGAGGAAAUACUCUUGGCUGAAUCCGACGACAAAGCGAGUGAAGAGCCAGCUCUUCUCGCAUCAGAGAUAAAAGACCUGAAUUACGAGAGCUUCAACAGCAAAAACAAUGGAGUACAGGGAGCUUCUCUUUUCCCAGACUUCAAAGAUGGAUCCUCAGAUAGCGACUCAAGCGCGAUCUUAAACGAAGAUAACAGUCCAAAUCCAGCCAUUUCCUCAUCUGGGAUUCUCCAAAACCACCAGUUAAUGAUGUCUCCUCCACCACCAUCAUCAUCAUCAUCAUCGUUCCAGUUCACAAAAGCGAACCCAUAUGUAACCCAGUUUGUGAAGAUGGAAGAACACAAUUUCUUUAGCAGUGAAGAGGCAUGCAAUUUCUUCUCAGAUGAGCAAGCCCCUACUCUUCAAUGGUACUGUCCAGAUCAAUGGAAUUAAACAAAAAAAAAAAAAGAAAGAAAGAAAAAUAGUGGGCGGUGGUGGUAUCUUAGCUCCAAGGAUUUUGUAAAUUGGAAAUGAAAGUAUCUAUGUAAUCUAAAGCUCUUUACUUUAAUCUCCAUUGAGGAAAAGGUGAAAAUUGGAGAACUGGGUCCAUGAACAUUCAAAGGAAGAAGAACAUAAGAAAAGAAAGAAUCAAAGGAAGGGGAUGGACAAAAAUGGCAAAAAAAAAAAUUGGAAAAGAAAGUUCUUGGAGCUAAGUAAGAGAGAGAGAGAGAGCACGUGGGCUUAGGUGACCAUAAAUGGGCGUAGAUUUUGUGUUAUAAGCCGUGCGGGAAUGAUUAGGUCGUAAUUGAUGGAGCGCUUUGCUGUAAAAAAGUUAUUAAGAAGAAAUCAUCCGAUCCUUGAAACUAUAGGGGAAGAAUUCUUGUAAUGGAGAAAUAAUCAUGCUUCUCUUUAUCUUUCUUCUUUUUUUUUCUUUUCUCCUUUGAUUUUUUUCCCACUUUAAAUUCUAUCAAUGCUUUUUCUCUUCUUAUUAUUUAUCAUAAGUUGGUGGCUUGGAAAGGGAAAAUUUCAAGAAUUUUCACGGAAAAUUUUAGUUUAGAAAAAGCUGCGAAAUGCAUCCUUGAGCAUGUAAUACAGAAGAGCUUUCUUCCUGGUACUUACUAUUCUUGUCACUUUCGGAAACAAAAAUUAUAUUUUUGUUCUUACUACCCCUUAUAAUAUAUUCUACUAAUUUCUAUAAAUAUAUAUAUAUAUAAGAAUAAUGUAUUCUGAUCGAUUUAAAUAAAAAUAAUGUAAAAUAUUAAACCAUAGAAAUUUUUUACAAUUCAAAAAAUUAUAAUAAAAUAUUAUGUUACAACUAUGAUUACUUCUUAACUAUAGAAUAUAUUUAUAAUUUCUAUUUUCCAUGAUUAGAAAAUCAUAAAUUGAAAUACCAUAUUCUAAUUUCUACACAAAAUUAUGCAGAAAGCAGGAAAUUAGAAAGUCAUUUUUUCUGGCGAGCUUUACCAACUCACAAGCGCUAGGAGGCCAUCAAAAUGCGUACAAGAGAGAAAGGCGAACAGCCAGGCGUGCCCAAUACCAUUGUGAUCGUCACUUAUUAGCUGCUGCUCCAGCUCCGAGCUCAUGAGUUGUGAAAGCAUCUUCCAUUUCUAUUAAAGGAUUUGUCGGGAUUGGCGUUGCUGCCAAAUUUUGACCACAAGGAGCAACAACUUAUUCUCCAUCGUCGACAAGGCUCGGCCUGCUGCUUCUAUCCUAAAUUUAUAUUGCACGACCGUUUUGCCUCAGAGCUGCAAUACCAUCAUUUGUUGAAUUUCCUAGUAAGCUACUGCCUCAUGAGGAGGUAGGUAUUGAAGAUUGAUUUACAAUUAGCACAUGGUUAAACCGUAGUUUGGUUUAGUUUUUGUUAAUUGUUUUUUGUUUAGGUUUUUUAGAUUUUAUUUUCUUGUCUGUUAUUGAGUCAAAUUACGUCCAUUGUAAUGGCAUUAUCUUCUUAUUUUUGUUAUUAAUAUUUUAUUAGUUUUUUUGUAAUGUCUAAUUAAAAGGCACUGAGUCGUUAAGUUAGUAUUGAAGUGUAAACGCAGUGCAAAGCAGAUUAGACUGUCAGACUGUCAGAUAUAUUACAAUCUCUGAAUAAAGUUGUCAAUUUUCAAAUCCAAUUUGCUAGUUCCGGUUAGCUAUAUUUUUUUAACUAUCUGGUAUAUUAUCUAAUUUCAACAUUCGUUCAAAUUUAGAUAAUUAAUUUUAUUCUCUGUCGUCAAUUCCCUUUCCCGAACAAAAGUGGUAUCAAAAGCCUCGUUCAUUCAUAACAUUGGGUGUUAACUCAUGGCAUCAAAUGGCAACGCUGUGAGUAUUUCUCAACCUGCAAUUCCUGUUUUCAAAGGUGAAAAUUUUGAAUUUUGGAGUAUCAAGAUGAAAACUCUGUUUAAGUCUCAAGAUUUGUGGGACUUAGUUGAGAAAGGGUAUCUUGACCCAAAUGAAGAGACCAGAUUGAAGGAAAAUAAGAAGAAGGAUUCCAAAGCAUUAUUUUUCAUUCAGCAAGCUAUGAACAAGUCAGUUUUUUUCAAAAACUGCAGUAGCAACUACUAGUAAAAAUGCUUGGGCGACCUUGCAGACGGCGUACUAAGGUAAUUCUAAGACAAUCACGAUUAAACUUCAAUCCCUUCAUCGUGAUUUCGAAACCUUCCAAAUGAAGAGUGGAGAGACACUACAAGAUUUUCUCUCAAGAGCGGCUGCAAUUGUUAAUCAAAUGAGGUCUUAUAGAGAAGAAAUCUCAGAUUAAACUGUUAUUGCAAAGAUGUUAAGGAGUUUAAUCCCAAAGUUUAAUCAUGUUGUGGUAGCAAUCAGAGGACGUGAAAAAGGAUGAUACAUAGACAGAGGAGGUCGUGGCAGAAAUGAUCUUGGUAGAGGCGAUGGGAAAAGAAAUGAGCAGCAUGAACAAAGAACAGAGAAUCAAGAAACUAGCAGAAGCAGUAUCCAAUGCUAUUACUGCAAAAAAUAUGGGCAUAUAAAAGCAAAUUGUUGAAAACGAAAUCAACAAGCUAAUUAUGCAGAAGAGGAAGAGAAGACUAAGUUGUUUAUGGCUUAUAAAGACAGUAGAAUAACUUCAGGUGAUAUUUAGUUUUUAGAUAGUAGAAGGGUUGUAAUCGAACCGAGCCGAGCCGAACUUUGAUAAGUUCAGGCUCGAUUAAAAAAUAAAUUUAAAAGCUCGAGCUUGACUCGAGUUUCAUUUAUAAACUCGAGCUCAAUUCAUAAAAUAAAUAUUAAACUCGAGCUUGGUUCGAGCUCGAUUCGUAAUAAGCUCGUUAUCACAUUAACGAGCCAACUCAAACUCCACUCAAAAAACUCGAAUUUGAGCUCAUUUAAGCUCGAUUAUAAAGUUCGAAUUUGAACUCAAUUAUAUUAUACACAAGCUCAAUAUAAUUCAAAUUCAUUUAAAUUAUAAACAAAUUUAAAUUAUAAAAUCAUUAAGAGACUUUUAAAUUAAAUUUUUUUAUUUAAUUGAAAUUUCUCAAACCCAAAACUAAUAAAAAAGAAUGUAGAAGGAUUGUUAAUUAAAAAGAAUGUAGAAUGGUUACCUUUUAUAGAGAAGUCACAAUCCUCCAUAUCCCUUCAACUUUCGAUGUGGGAUUGGUAUUGGCAAACAAGCAUGUUUAAGAGCUUGUUUGCGAGCCUGUUCACAAGUCUAUUCGCGAGUCUGUUCACGAGUCUAUUUGCGAGCCUGAAAAUGAGUCGAGCUCACGAGGUUAAAUGAGCCGAAUACUGCUAAGUUUAAGCUCGGCUCGUUUAUUAAACGAGCCUAAAAAGUGAGCUCGAACUCGGCUCGAUUAGAAAACAAGUAGAGCCCGAUCAAGCUUUUAUCGAGCCGAGUCUCGAAUAGCUCAUGAACAGUUUGAUUCGUUUACACCCUCUAAUCAUAUGAUCGGCAUAAAUUCAUUAUUUAAAGAGCUUGAUGAGUCAUACAAGUUGACAAUAAACCUUGCUGAUGACAAGCAAAUGCAUGUUGAUGGCAAAGGCACCAUAGUAAUUAAAAAUAGCAACAGUAAUGUAAAGCUCUUGCACAAUGUCUAUUUCAUUUCAGAUUUAACACAAAAUUUAUUGAGUAUUGAGCAACUCAUGGGUUGUGGAUAUUCUAUUUUAUUUGAUGAUAAGUCAUGUGAAAUUAGAGAUAAAAAAUCAAAUCAGAUUAUAGUCACUGUUUCUAUGUCUAAAAAUAAAUUGUUUCCUCUUGAAGUAUCUAGUGUUGAGAAUCAUGCUCUUAUUGUCAAAGAGAGUAGUGAGUCCAUAUUGUGGCACUUACGGUAUGGACAUUUGUGUGUAAAGGGUCUCCAGUUGUUGAGUAAAAAACAUAUGGUUUUUGGAUUACCUAAAAUAGAGUCUCUAAAUUUGUGUAAAUUAUGUAUUUAUGGGAAACAGUGUAAAAAAUCAUUUCCUAUGAGAAAGUCUAGAAGAGCAACUGAAUUCUUGAGCUUGUGCAUGUUGACUUGUGUGGUUCCAUGAAAACUUUGGUGAGAGCAAAUAUUUUUUAUUGUUCACAGAUAAUUUCAGCCAGAUGAGCUGAGUGUAUUUUCUGCAAUCCAAGUUAAAAACUUUUAUGGUUUUCAAGAAAUUUAAGACACUUGCUGAGAAGCAAAGUGGGCAAAGUGUAAAAACAUGUCGAAUCGAUAGAGGAUGAGAGUUCAUGUCCCAUGAAUUUAAUCAAUGUUAUGAAGAUGAAAGCAUUCACAAAGAAUUAGUAGCUCCAUAUACUUCAGAGCAAAAUGGAGUGGCUGAACAAAAAAAUUGCACGGUGGUGGAAAUGGUAAGAAGUUUGUUAAAGGCCAAAAGAUUACCAGAUGGUUUUUGGGAAGAAAGUAUUGCAAUUGUUGUUUACCUGCUGAAUUCAUCACUAACAAAGAUUAUUUUGAACAAAACACCAUUUGAAGCUUGGAGUGGUAAAAGACUCCCGGUGAGCCAUUUGAAAAUUUUUUAUUGUAUUACCUAUGCUUUGAUUUAUUCUCAUAAUUAUAGCAAACUUAUGAUAAAUCAAUAAAAUGUAUUUUUAUUAGUUAUUAUAUUCAAUCUAAAGUAUAUAGGUUAUAUAAUACUAUUAGUGGUAAAAUAAUUGUGAGCAGAAAUGUUGUCUUUGAUGAAGAGGCAAGUUGGCCUUGGCAAGAAAAUUCAGACAGCGUACAGAUUAAAAGUUCAAUUGAAAUAUAACAAGCUACUUAUUCAAUUUCAGCAAACUCAUCUUCAUUUGAAAAUUAAACUCCUCCAAGAAGUUUCGGAUCAUUGGCUGAAAUUUAUGAGACUUCACAAGUAUUGUUUGUAGCUGAUCUAAUAACUUUUAAAAAAGCAGUGGAGAAAGAAGAGUAGUACAAUACUAUGAAAGAUGAAAUUACACUAAUUCAAAGGAAUGAAAUUUAGAAAUUGGAGGAUCUUUCUAAAGACAAGAAAGCCAUUAGAGUUAAAUGGGUCUUUAGAACAAAGUUUCAAGUAAAAGGCAAUUUCAAAACCAAAAAGCUCAACUUAUGGUAAAAGAAUAUUUAUAGUAAUAAAGUGUGGAUUAUUAUAACACCUUUGAUCUUAUUUCAUGGUUUAAAAGUUGUAAAGUUCAAGAAAAUGAAUAUGUAGCUGCAAUUUCAUCAGUAUGUCAAGGAAUUUGGUUAAGAAGGAUUCUUGCAGUACAAAUAAUCAAGUGAAAGAUAUUCUCACAAAGUCACUUUUUCAAGACAAACAUGUCUAUUUCAGAAAUCAACUUGGAGUGUGCAAUUUUGAAUUAAGGCAGUGUAUUGAAAAUUGAUUUAAAAUUAGUACAUAGUUAACGUUAGUUUAAUUUAGUCUUUAUUAGUUAUUUUUUGUCCAAAUUUUUUAGUUUCCAUUUUCUUAUCUGUUAUUGAGUCAAGUCACGUCCACUGUAGUAAUAUUAUUUUCUCAUUUUUGUUAUUGAUAUUUUAUUAACUUUUUUAUAAUACCUAUUUAAAAGAUAUUGAGUCAUUAAAUUAGUAUGAUUGCAAAGUAGAUCAGAUUAUCGACAUAUUGUAAUAUCUGAAUAAAGUCAUCAAUUUCCAAAUCCAACUAAUUUCAGUUAGCUAUAUUUUUUAAUUAUCUGAUAUGGUAUCUAAUUUUAGUAUUGUUCAAAUUUAAAUAACUAUUUUUAUCCUCUAUUUUGUGCGAUCUCAAUCUCUAUUCUGAAUAGCAAGACAAAUUUUUAUCUCAAAUUGACUCUUCUUUAAUUAUAUAUAAUUAAAUAUCUCCUUUUUUAAUUUAUUGUCUUUUUAUUUUGAUUUUUCACUUUCAUUUCGAUGAACACCACUUUGUUAAUGCUUCUCAGUGAGUUUGAUCAUUCUGAAAUCAUUAAGCUUAAAACUAAUUCUCCUAUCGUGGAUCUGAAAUUGGAAUAGAAUAUUCCAAUUUAGGGCUUUUUUAACCAUGGAAAAAUUAUAAAUAUGCCUUAUGAUUAAAAAAUAAUUAUAGUUGUUUAUGUGUCAAAAUAAGACUCAUUUUAAUAAUUAAAAAUACUAUUUUAGCAAGCCAGUUCAAUAAUGACAUACUCUUCGUAAAUCAGAUUAUAAAUUAGGAUAAAAUAAUUACAAAAAUUUUAAUUUUGAAUUAAUUUUUCAAAAUUAAAAAUUAGGAUUAAAUUUAAAAUCAAAGAAUAGAAUUUAUUUUAGAAAAAAAUGUGAUAAAAAAAUAAUUAGAUUAGUUGCAUUAAUUUUAUAUAAUAACAAUUAAAUACACUCGACUUUUAAUUUUUUUUUGAAAUGAAAAUUAAGGAUCGAGAGAUUAUAUCCUGAAAACUCUCAGAUUUACUUAGAUGCAUUUAUCAUCAGACUAAAUUUGUGAGUGCGUUAAAUUAUAUAUAUAUAUAUUUAAUUAAUCAAUUUAUUAAUUAAUAAUUCAUUCGAAAAAAUCGUAUAAAAUAUUUAAUUCUAAAAUAAAAAUUUUAUAAAAAUUCAAUUUAUUUUUUUAUAAAAGAGUUCAAUUUAUUUUUUUAUAAAAGAGUUCAAUUUAUUUUUAAUUUAAAAAGUUUUUUUUAAAUGAAAUUAUGUAUAAUUUUAUUAAAAUUUAUUUAAUUUUUUUUAUGAAAUGAAUCAGACAUUCUAAUGUUAAUUUUACUUUAUAUGUUUAAACAAGAUAUUCAUACAAAUAAUUGGAAAGUAGUAAUUUAAUAAUUUGGCUUUCACUGUUCAAUAGCCUAAUUAAUAUAUAAUUAACCAUUAAAAUAACAAAUUGAAAUUUUAUGAGCUAAAUAAUUAACUUUCAUUAAUUUAAUUAGAUAUUUAUAAAAAAUCUUCGUGUAUUUUAAUUUUUUUUAUAGCAUUUAUCUGUAAAAAUUAAUGAAGUGGUUAAUGGGUAGACUUUAAAAUCUUAAAAAUAUUUUAAUUUAUUUUUUAAAAUUAAAAAAUUAAUUAGUAAUUUCUCAUUAUUAUAAUAUUAUAUAUUUUAUAAAAAUAAAAUAAAAUAUAUUUUAUUUUUUAAUAAAGAGAAAAAUAAAUUUAUUUUUUCUAAUUUAAUUAAAUUAUUUUUAAAAAGUAAAAAAUAAUUUUUAAAAAAAAAAUAAAUUAUUUAAACCUAAUAAAGUCUUCGUACAUGUAAGUGUUGGGAGGCAUAGCUUUUAGAUGGUCCCAUUUCAAUUCAUCCCUACCUCACUUUUGUCAUCUUAUACACUUACUUUUCACCAUUCCUGAAUUUUUUUUAAUAUAUAUAAUAAGAAAAUAAUAAUUAAAUUUAUUAAUUAAUUUUAAUAAAUAAAAUAAAUUAUUCACAAUUUAUCAAUCAUUUAAAUAUAUUAUAAAAUAAAUUAUUGACAAUUUUCAUUUAUCUCUCUUCAUAAAUGAAUUCUUAGAAUUUCCUAAAUUGAAAAACGCAGGAUUUAGAAAAAUUUUAAAGAUUCGAAUUUUAAAAAUAUAUAAAAUAAAUUGAAAAUCUUAAUCAAAGUUUCGGCUAAUUUAACUGGGAUAAUAAAUUUUUAUUUUAUCAGCUAAUUUUUCUUUAAAAAUCAAAUUAUAUUUUUCAGAAAAGUAAAAUAAAAAAAGAAAGGCACGUAACGGUGAAGUGGGGAGUGGGAAAAAGGCAAUAGUCUUUUGCCUUUAAAAUCGGAAUGCAUUCAAUUGUGAGCGUACGAUUUUGGCAAGAUGCGCAAAACCCGCUCAGCUCUCUGAUCUAAUGCACAUGUUCUGACUUUUGCUUUUCGUGAUUGUUUGUGCUUUGUUUGUAUCUUUUCAUCUACACGUGUAGGGUGAUGGGACCCCUUUUCUUUUCUUUUUUUUUUUACCAUAUAAAAUUAAUUACAUUCUUUUUUAUUUUUAUUAUAUAAAAUUAAUUACAUUAAAAGUUCGAUAAAUCAGAAGAAAAACAAGUUCAGUAAAGAGGUAAACUAACUAUAAUCACAAACUCAAAAAGCCAAAUAAAACUAAACCCUAAUAGGAACUUCUGUAGCCAUCAAAAAUUACAUCGUCUCUAUCAUAAAUUUAAAUUCAAUUAAAUAAAAGAUCAGUGAACUAUAAAAUUAAAUUUUAACAAAAAUUACUGUAACCAUCAAAAAUCACUUAGCACUAUCAUCUCUGUUAUAAAUAUAAAUUCAAUUAAAUAAAAAAUCAAUGAAGCGUGAAUCGCUAGGCGUAGACGUAUUAGCACGGUUCGUAAUUUAUUAUUAUUGACGGUCAAGUUUCUUCCUACAGUGUUAAAGAUAAAAUUAGAUUAAAAUGAAGUCUUUCCUUACUUAUCAACCACAAAAGACGUUCAAAUGACAAGAUCCAUUACCUAAUCUCAAUCACUCAAAAUUAGAAUUAAAAAAUUAAAUAAAACUAUACAGUUGAUAUUAGAGCCGCUCGCCGGGAUCAAAAUCGAUCCAUAAUUAUUAAUUUUUUAAAAAAAAUAAAGGACUCUAAGUAAAAUAAAUUUUGAAAGUAAAUAAUUUAAGACCUUGAAUCAUCAAACCCCAAAUGUGGUGUGGAUGAUGCUUCAAAUAUAGAAAGAAAAUAAAUAUUAGACAUAUUCCAGCCAAAAUUGCCUCUCUUGAAAUAAGAGGAGACAUAUUGAAAUAAGAAAUUUAGGCAUACCCAAUUGUUGUCUCCCUUAAGUGAUUGCUUCUCAAACCUAACAUGUCAUUCAUUUCAUUACACAUUCAAAAUAGUUAAUCUAACUUGUCUUCUUCAAUCUAUGAGAAGGAUCAACACUUUUAAACCUAACCUGUCUUCAUCAAAUCUAUAACAAAUAUCUUUUACACAUUAUGGAAAAAAAAAAAUUUUAUUAUUUUUUAUUUAAUAUAAAUUCAAUAAGUUGAAUAAUAUUAAUUUAAUAAUAGAUUGAACAAGUAUUGAUGGGUAUAAUAUAGCAUAACGCUGAAAUUGAAAUCUCUAUUUUUUAGAUUUUUAAAAUUAAAAGAAAAAAAAUAAUUAUUAAUUAUUAAAUUAAAAAUGCAUUUAAAAUUGAUGGACUACUGUGAUAAAAUCAUUAAUAAAAACAGAGAGUUAGGGUUAACAGCAGAUGGUGAUGGCUCAAGAAAAUGGGCGAACCCAAUGGGGCAUAUAUUAAUUAAUUGAUGGUGAAGGCGCAUGAUCUUGUAUAGACUGCAGCUGCAUAUGGCCCCUUUAUUUAUAUAAGGUGGUUCGCUUUUCACCUGUGAAUGGCGAGCCAUGGAAUUGGACUUUAUUGACUGCUUCACUUUUCCAUUUCCCUUUUUUUUUUUUUUUUCUUAUGCUGUGAUGCAGAUGUUUGAUAUGCCCUGUGGGUAACAGAAGAGAAUCCAAUUAAAGAAUUAAUAAUUUUUUUAAAAUUAUAUAAAUUAAAUAAUAAAAUAUUUAAUGAGUAAAAUUAAUGAAUAAAUUAAUUGAUAAAUUUUUUAAAAUAAUUUUUAAAAUAAAGAGGUGAACUGAUAAAUUUAUUAGACUAAAUAGUAAUGUUUUUUCUUGAUUUGAAAUUGUGGGGGAAGAGUGGUCCCUCUUUUGUGGGGUCCGUUCUCUUUGUAUCAGUGAUUGGUGGAUGCAUGUGAUGUGGGCCCUUGUUCUUUGUUUUUAUCUUCUUUAAUGGAACAAACCAUGUCGUUUUCAUCCCUAGUCCUUGUCACGUAGAAAUUUGCAGGAAAGCUGGAGAUGGAAGAAGAUAAGAAUGUGUCUCUUUGCUUCCAUUUUCACAUCUCUAGCUAUUGCUCCAUACUGUUACUAUUUGAAAAUUAAGUAUUAUUAUUAUGAACCCAAUAUUUAAUAAAAAAAUAAAAAAUAAUAAUAAAAUUAGAAUCUCUCUUUGUUGCUUCAUUUUCUGGCUUCAGGUGCUUCACGUUAAGUUAUUUUAAUAGGGAUCCCCUACCCCCACUCACCUCUCUUUACUUAAUUAAUUAAAAAAAGAAAAGGAAACCCUAACCCUAGCUAGUUUUGUUCUCUUAUCUGUAAUUAAUUAUGGAAGCAGCUAACAUAUAGGGUGGCAUGCUCCACUUUCUUCAUGCAUAGCUAUAGAGAAUUAAUACUUUAUUUUUGAAUUCAAGUGCAUGAAUCCUUUACGUUGUGAAUCAAGAAUAAUAUGCAUGUGUCAGUUUUAUCAGACCAUUUGAGAAUGAAGAAUAAUAAAAAUUUCUGGCUAAUCCACCAGUUAAAUUAUAUUUAGCACGAAACGGAAAUUUAAUCAGCAAAACCAUUAUUAAUUAUUGGGCAGGAAGCUACAUCUCUUUCCUUGUUAUAUCUAAGAUAACUAUGAAAUGGACCUCUUAGCCAAGAAGCAUGCCACAACUUUCUCUAUCAACCUAGUAGAAGUAGUGAAAGUCCCGAAAUGACCCUCUUAUAAAACUUUUUUUUUAAUGAAAAUUGAGAAUCAGAAAUAGAUCUUAAAACCUCUCAGAUUUAUUUAAAUACACUUAUCAUUAGACUAAAUCUGUAAAUAUAUGAGUUCAUCUUCUUAUGAAAUUUUAAAUAUUUAAUUUCAUAUUUAGCUUGUUUAAAUUUUUUAUGAAUUUUUUUUUCAAAUUAAUUAAAAGAAAUCAAGGAUUUAAUGUUGUCUGUAAAGCAUUAGGGAAUCUUAAGAUAUGCUCUAAGCUCUAAAGUGUCUACACCAAGGCUAUAUCUUUUUGGGUAUUGGAUCUCUAUCCCUAUAACUAUAUUAAUUAUAUACACUAUUAUUUAAUUUAUUAAUUUUUAUUUAGUGAUGGUAAUAAAUUAAAUAUUUUUAAAUAUUUGAUUUAAUUUAAUUUUAACAGCACGUAUUUAAAUAAUAUAUAAAGAAAAAAUCAAGUAAUUAAAGAAUGGUGAUGUGCAUAGGGCAUCAUGAUCCUCAAUGUGAUGGGGACCUUUAUGUUUUUAUAAAUGCAUAGUGCAGCAUCAAAAUCAAUAUGUUCAUAUGGGUUGGUUUAUGAUUAUUCAUUUUGCGUAGUUGAUUGGGCAGACUCUUCUCUUUGUGUGAGCUAAAUUAUAAUUAAGCUGCUAAUCGACUUGAUUAAGAAAGCUAAUAUCUUAAUGGUAAAUUUAAUAUUAUUUUUCGAAUUUAAUUUCUAAAACUAUAUUAAAAAAAAAAAAGCUUGUGUUCUAGAAAAGGGCAGAAAACUGGAGCAUGAUACUCGUGAAAACAUUUUUUUUUUUUAAAUAAAAAAAGAAAAGGAAGGAUGAGUUUGGAGGGCGGGUGGCGUAGAAGUAAUUAGGUGAAAGAGACAGUGAUGAAGUUUGAAUGAGACGGCGCCGUUCAAGACAAAUUUCAUGAGUGUGACUGACGCACUUUGUUCUUGUGCGCUGGCAAACGGCUCCUUCCUUACCAUUUAAAUCAUAUGGUCAACAUCUUUGACCUUCCCACUCUUUCCUUUUUCUCUCUUGUUUUGAACAACUCUUCGACUUAGCCGUUACGUUGGCUCAUGACUUGGCUGCCUUUUUUAACCAUUAUAAAAAUUUUAAAAAAAACUGAUAUUUUACUUUUAUUUUUUAAAAAUUUUUUGUAAUUGAUGAAUCAUAUAGCUAGGUGGACAUCAAAUAAUACUUUAUCUCUCAUCUUUUUAUGAGAAAUUAUUUUAUUUUUUAAUUUUAUUUAUUUUUUUAAUUUAUAAAUUUUAAAUAAUUUAAUCUCUAUAAAUUAAAAUAAAAUAUAUAUUAUCCUUUUAAUUUUUAAUUAUUUAAUUUAAUUUUUAUAAUGUGAAUAAUAUCAAUUAUAAAAAUUAAAUUAUUUUAUCUUUUAAAAAUUAAAUAAAAUUAAAUUAAAAUUAAAGGGUAAAAUAAAAGGAUAAAUUAUACAAUUGGACUAAAAUGAAAUUUAACACUCCCAACCGCAUGUAUUGUUUUAAUAGCAAUUUAUAAAAUUUAUUAUAUUUAGAUUUAAAUUUAAUUAGUAUUUUCACAUUUCAAAACUAUUUUAAAUUUAAUUAAAACUUAUCAUAAGUAAUUUAAAUUCAUUAUGGAUCUUAUUGUUGUUAUUUGAUUAAUAGUUACGCUUCAUUUGUUAAUAGAAAAUAAUUUAUAUUCAAAAAAUAUUUUUAUAAAAAAUAAUUUUUUUUGAAAAUAUUUAUUUUAAAAAAUUAUUUUUUAUUAUUUAAUUUUAAUUUAAAAAUAAAAUAUAUCAACAAAAUUAUUUAUAAAAAUAUUAAUAAUACUUUUAAAAUAUAGAAAAUAUUUUUUUUAAAUAAAGAAAUUAUUUACCUUCAAGUAAUUUUUCGAGGAGGAAAAGUUUUGAUAAUUAACAAAUUUUUAAAAAAUUAUAAGAGCUCACUAAUAAAUUUUUUUAAAAUUAUAGGAUUAAAUAAUAAAAUAUUUAAUAAUAAAAUUAACGAAAAAAAUUAGUUAAUAAAUUUUUUAAAAUAUUAAAAUUAUUUUAAUAUAUUUUUUAAAAUUAAAAAAAAAUUAUACCAUAAAACUUAAAUAUUAAUUUUUCUAAACAAAAAUAGAAUUAUCCAAAAAGAAGAAAACAACCAGCCACCUAGCAGGCCCAGCCGUUGGAUAUUAGCCAUAGCCACAUCCUCCUUUAAUGUGUUGGGCACCUACUAUCUCCGUGAUUUUUGUUUUUCUACUUUUGAAUAUUAAAGGGUAGAAUCUAAUAUCUCUCAAAUUUAUUUAAAUAUAUUUAUUAUCAAAUUAAAUCUGUGAGUGUUUUAGAAUAUUUACUGGAGUAUUAAAUAAGUUUCCAACUAUCAUUUUCAUUCUAUAAUUUAUUUUCAUUUUAUUUUUUAUAUAUAUUAAAAAAUUUAUAUUAAUUUUUUAAUUAUAUUCAUAUUAAAUCUAUUAAAUUUUAUAAAACACUAAUAGAUAUUUAAGAGACGUUUUUAGAAGAAUUAUCAUUGAUAGACCAUUUGACAAAAGCAUGGUAACCAUCGGAGAAAAUAUUUAUUAAUAACAAGUAAAGCCAAAUUCAUAGUUAAUUUUUUAAAAAUACACAUAUUGUAAAAUCAUAUUAAAUUAAUUACAGGUUAAUGUAGACAUUUACAGAAUUAAUGAAGCUAUGGGUGAUUAUCAUGGAAAAUGAUUAGGGUUACUCAAAUUAGAAAAUGUUGAAAUUGGAUAUAUUAUCUCCACGUAAUUAGGAAAGUGACCUCAUAGACAUGGAUUUUAAUUAUUCAUUUAUUCUUCUAAGAAGUGGCUACUGGCUAGCUUACCUAUUUAAUUUAGGAUUACCACAAGGUUUGUGUCAUUUAAUUUCUUUUUUUUUUUUAAAAAAAAACCCAUAUUUUAUAAUUUAAUUAGAAAAAAAGAAAUCAAAUGGAGGUUGAUGCAGCAUUAAUGUGAAUUAUAAAAUAAAAAUGGGUGAAACUUUAAUUGACAGGGAACAUAAUAAUAAUAAAUAAAAGUGAGAAUGAGACCUUCACCAGAACAUCCUGGAAAAAAAUUCAACAAAUUUGCAAAUAAAUUAUAAUUAUUUCCAUGCAGUGGACCACAUGAUAGGUCAGUUUGUAUGCCACUUCUUCAUUUUAUACAUUGUUUCUUUAAGACACUCUGCUCCAACUACCAUGCCCUAAUUCAUUAUUCAAUCUGAAAAUAUUUUAUUUUAAUUUUUAAUUAUUUUUUUCUAUUUCAUUAAAAAAUUUUAUUGUUUUAUAUAUUGUAUUUAAACCUAUUCAACAAAAUGACUGGCAUGAUUUGACUACUCAAUUGAUUUUUUUUUUUGAAUUAAAAAUUAAUUAUUUGAUUUUUGACAAUUUUGUUAUUUUUUUAGUAUUUCUUAAUAUUAAAGUUAAUUUAAAAUUAGAAACAAAUAAAUAAUAUGACGUGCAUAAGAUACUCCUACUAUUAGUUAAAACUACUAUUUAGUUACAUUUCUAAAAAAUAAUUAAUUUAAUUUCUAAGAGUUUAUUUAUCAAAAAUAAAAUUUAUAAAUAAAAGGCCAAAAUCUGCGUUAUAAAUAUAUGAAACACUAUAAUUAAAAGAUCAAGAAAAAACAUAAGAAAAGAACUAUGAACCCUAGGGCCAACGAUCCAAACUCAAUUCGACUCCCUAACCUGGACAGGUCCAAAAGACUGUCGGUUUUAUCUCUGUAAUUAUUGUUAUUGUCGUCACCAAUGCAGGAAGACGGAACCUCAAGAAAGACAAUUAAAAUUGAAGCAUACAUAUAAAGCUCAAGAUCCACCCACCCCAAAGCAUUUGUAGGCCUUUUCGAAAUAAAAGAAACAGAGAAAUAAGGAAGAACAACAUAUCUAUCGAGUCGAGCAAAGAAGGUGCAAGAUGCGUAUGAAAGGGAAGACUGCUUCCUCGAUCAUGUCAUGCAAACCAUCUCUAAAGCCGAGGUGUUACCAAAACAAAGAAGGCCGUCGGAGAAGGAAGAACGAAGAACUUCGCAAUAAACAUGUUGCCUUUGACACUUCGAUCUAGAAUGGAAAACUGCAAGAAAGCACACACAACUAUAUGCAACAACUAGGUAGGUCGAAAGGUCGAAAGAAGGACUCUCUCCAUUAAGAACUGCCUGCUAAAACAAAAACAACCUAUGUAUAACCUCGUCCAUAAGGGAGGGAGCACAACCACGUCCGGGCGAGGAAGGGCAGGGGCAAGUAGGUAGCUGGCAGAAGAAAGGCCUAAUGUCUCAGACGACCUCUCAACGAUGAGAGAAAAACUCUCUCUCUAUAAAAUAAAGAGAGAUUAAGUUUUGAAAUUGAAAUGCUAUCUAGUUUUCAGUUUUCAUACAGGUUAAUGUAUAUAACUACCAAAUAAGAGAGAAUUUCUUUGGGUACUAGGCCCUUGCUCUUUGCCGCCUAGUUAACUUUUUCUUACUUUUUCUAUAACGAUUCAGAUACCAAAUCGCUAUCGGAGUUAGAGUUCAGAUUGACUUAUGAUCGCCGGAGCCCGUAGUAAGCCUACUAUACAUCCUGUUACACUUGAUAUAAUCCCAAACAUGAUCAAAAAUAUAUAUAAAAAUAUUUCUAUCUCAUGAAUCAAAACUCAAUAUGUGCAUCAUGUGCAUGCAACAUAAUUAAAAAAUAUAAAAAUAUUUCUAUCUCAUGAAUCAAAACUCAAUAUGCGCAUCAAGUGCAUGCAACAUAAUUAAAAAAUAUAAAACUCAUACUAAAACACUCAUCAAAUACUCCAGUAUAGUCAUCAAUACAUGCCUCAGUUUGGUUCAAAUAUAGUUUAAACUUUAAAACUCCUACAUAAUAAGAUCAUGAACAAAAGGAUUAUAAAAGAAAACUCGGAUAAAACAUAAUUCUAAACCACAAUUUAUUUCAUGUCCACAACUAUAACUAUUAUAUCAGAACUAUACCAUAAAACACUGUUGAUCUUCAUAGCUAACUCUAGUACUGCAAACCUGGGGUUAGGAGAAAAGGAUAAACUAUUAGAGCUAGUGAGCAAAAACAUAAUCAUAAAAAAAUUUAAUAAAAUAUAUGAUCGUAUGAAUGCGUCAUAACACAUUUAUUCACAUCAGAAUGGACUUAUCACCAGUAACACUCCCUAAUUCUAAUAAUGUCUGACCCACAACAAAUACUCUUCAGGACUUCCUCUUAAACAUAACAUAACAUAUCCAUAGUACUAGGGGCAUAGAAUGGGCACCCUGGUCUUCCGUAUCCGUCGUAACAUAUCAUAGCAUAGUCGAAGGUUAAUAGGUCAUCCAACAUCCAUUCACAACAAUAAUUAAUCGUACAAUGAAUCAUAUUCAUGAUUUAUAAUGCAAAACAAUCUAAUCAUAUACAUAUGGCAUUCGUGAUGCAUUAGCAUGCUUAAAAUGUUUGAUUUUUUUAAAAUAAUAGUUUAAUUUAGUUCUACUCACCUCUAACUGACACAAACCUAACUCUGAAGCAGUUGUCUUACUAUUGGCCUCUACAGUCUCCCAAGUCCGAUUCUACACAAAUGGACUUAAAUGAAGGAUCAAACAUAACUUUUACAACACUUGAAACUACUCCAACAAACCCCUAAAAAUAUGUGAGAAAAUAUGUGGAAAACGAGCUAAAAACGGUUAGACAGGGGACUUUUGGCGGCAGGUUCAGCGGCCUAAACUCCCCAUACGAUCUAAAGGUCAAACCUUUAGAGGUAGGUUGGGUAGCCAAAAGGCAACUUUCACAGGCAGGUUUGACGGCCGAACUUAGGUUCUUCUGCAAUGCGAAACUCGAUUCUUUCUUAGCCAAUAGCCUUCAAACGCACCCAAACUCACAUGCAACAACUCAAAACCAUAUAUUUAUAACUCAAAAUACAAACAAUCACUUAAAACUAUCCUCAACUUCAACAUGCAUUCAACAAGACCAUCAAAUCAAGAAAACUCAUCCAACUCUCAAACUUUUCCUUAAACUAAAAACUCAACCUUUGCAUGCAAUAAAAUGCUUAAAGUAGUUUAUAAACUUCUCAAAACUAAAAGAAAAUUGAGGGUCCAACUUACCUCUUCGGAGAAGGCAUAACACAACAAGAAAGAAGUUGAGAAGGAGAAAGAGAUGAGCUCCAAAGGGUUCGAUGGCCAAAAACCUUGAGAAUUAAACUUGAUUCUUCAAAAUAUAGGUAACUUAUGAAUUUCUAAAAGAUUUAUGAAAAAAUAAAGUGAAAAUCAUCAAGAGGUUUUAGGUUCACCUCUGCCUGAAAGAAUAAAGAAAAACUCAUCUAAAAAUCGGAUUGGAAGUCUUUUAUAGUUGGGUCUGCUAAUUUGUGUUUGGCGGCUGAACCUUAAUGAUUUGAAAAUUUUUUUUAACACAUUUUAAAAUACUUAAAAUUUAUUUUAUAAAAACUUAUUUUACCCUUCUAAAGUUUUCAAUUUCGAUAUUGCGGAUUUCAAUGGAGAUUUCAUCGAAAAGUUAAAAUUCUGACACUAGAGUUUAGCCGGGUAUUACACUUUUAAACAGAAAAAUACAUUCUUUUCUAAAUUUGGACAUAGGUUUCUUUGCCGACCAUUGAGUUGGGUUGUAGAUAUUUGAUUUUAUUUUGGUUGUUUUGCAAGUGAGUUUUAGGGCGAAGGAUUAUUUAGAGAUAUUCUGUAUGCUGCUUUUAUUUUUUUUUUUUUUUAUGGUGUAGUUUGUCGAUUAACGAGAAGUUCAAUUAUGUGCCUAUUUUGUGAUGUUUUGGUGAAAGGAUGCAAAAACACUUGGUUACUAGUGGAGACUUUUGAGUUUGUAGACAUCUUAGAAAGUGAGAACGGGUCACCAAAGAUGACAAUGCCUUUAUCCAUUUGCUGAAUGUUGUUUUGAUGUGCAAGAUUCUCGAUCCUGUUUAGCAUGGUAAGUUUGAGAUUUUGAAAGGAGCUCUAGUCCCUUAAAAGUUACAAAAGAGUGAAAUUACUAAGAAUUUUGCUCCUAAUUUGUUUAUUUAGCUUCACUGUCUUCUUAUGAGCCAGAUUUGCAGGUAAGCUAGAUAUACUUUUAAAAUAUAUUAUUUUUAAAAUUUUAUUUUUAUUUAUUAUGUAUGAUGUAUAAUUAAUUAAUACUUUUAUUUUAUUGAUACAAUAAAUUGAUAUACUCUUAUUAAUUAUUUUAUAUAUUAACAAUAAUAAUUAAAUAUAUUUUAUUAAAAAAUUAUCAUUUUAAUUCAAAUACUUUAUCAUUAGUGUAUUUGUGUAGUGUAAAUGAACCAAUUAUAAAACCUCCAACUAGGAACAAUUUAUUUUCUUCGGAAUCUUCCCCAUCAUUAAUAAUAAGAAAAUUAGAAAAAAAAAAUUAAACUAUUAAUCUAAUAAAAAAUAGUGAUAAAAAAGUCAAUUAUUUAUGUUUUAAGAGAUAUAUAUCAAAUUAUAAAAUUAAUUAUUAUAUUCUAAACCAAUCAACUAAAUUUAUUUAUAUCCAACCAUUAAAUUUAUCGUUAAAUAUAGCAGAAUCAUACCUAAUCAUCAUAUUCAGCACAAAAAUUGAUAUUUUAAUAUAAUUUAAAUAAAUAAUUAUUUAAAAUAUUUAAAAAUUUAUCAAUUUCAAUAAUUAUAUCCUCAACUUAUUUUUAAUAAAUACAUUCGAAAUUAAUUUUUUAAUUUAUUUAAUUUUUAAUUUUAAUUCAAUUUAUUUAUAACUUUCGAUAAUACAUUUCUAAAAGGCCAUAAUUUAUUUUUCUGUUUUUUUACAUCGACAAUUAUAAUUUUUUGUAUAGUUAUAAGUGGUAUGAUAACAAUACCACUAGUAAAUAAAAAAUAAUGACUUUUACUUCUGAAAAAUUAAUUAUACUUAUUAUAUAUAUUUUAAUAGAAUUGAAGUAAAUAAUCAGUCUAAUUAAUAAAAAAUAGCUAAAUUUAAUAUAAUUUAUUAUUACAAUUUAUAUUUUAUCUAAUGAAUUUAAUUACUUUAAAUUUAUUAAUUUGAUUAUUAACUUUCAAUUUAAUUAGAGUGAAUAUAAUAAAUAUAGCUAAUUUUUCAAAUAGAAGAGAAUUGUGCCCCUUAAUUUAUUAGAGUUAAUAAUAUAACUAUACAAAAAGUUAUACUUAUUAAUAUAAAAAAGAAGAGUUAAUAAUAUAACUAUAAAUAAAGCGAAUUAAAAUUAAAAAUCAAAUUAAAUUAAAAAACUAAUUUAAGGUAUAUUUGUUAAAAAAAUAGGUAUAAUAUUAAAAUUUAUAAAGUUUAAAGUUUUUUAAUAAUUAUUAAUUAUAUUAAAAUAUUAAUUUUUAAUACCGAUUAAAAUAAUGAUAUGAUAUAUUCAUUGGUAGAAUAUAAAUAAAUUUAAUUGAUUAGUUUAAAAUAUAUUAAUUAAUUUAUUUAUUUAUUAAAUCACAAAUAAUUCAGAAUAUUUUUUAUAGUUAUUCCAUUUAAUAAUACAAAUAAAAAUAUGGAUUUAAUAAAUUUGUGAAAUCAAGCCACAAACUUAGCCAGAGGAAAACACCAAUUUUGUAAAAAAGGAAUAAAAGAAGAAAAUUGAGAAGCUACAAAAAUCAAGCCAACAAGAAUAUCUAUUUCAUACUUCUUGAAUUAUCCUCUUUUGUGCUUAUUUGAAGAUAUUUCCAGCAAGAAAUACUGGAUUUCCCUUAUAAUAUAUAUAUGUAAUACUAAUUAAAAAUAUUAUUUUAUUUUAAAAAAUAUAAUAUGAUUUAAUGUAAGAAGACAGCUCUUCCAUCAACUUUUAUUUUUAGAAAAAAAAAAAAGUUUGAUGUGUGUCUUAUAGUUGAUGGUGGGGACAUGACAUUGAAAAACUAUACACUAAAAAGAAAUAUACUAAUCAAGGCACAAUUUGAAAAUUUUGGAUUUAUUGCUAAAGAUUAGAGAAAGGAACACUUAGGUCCCUAUCUCUUUCGUCAGCAAUCCCCAUCAACUUGACCAGAAUUGCGAUAUACACCCGGCUAAUUAAAUGGCUUUAAUUUAUUUAAAUAAUAAAUUUUAUUUUAUAACAUCAAAUUCUAUCAGACUUUUAUUUAAAUAAAAUAAAAUUUUAUUUCAUAAAUUUUUAAAUUAAUUUACUGAUUGUGACGCUAUUAAAUAUAUAUGUAUAUAUAUAUUCUUCCAUCUCCAUUGAAAAAAAAGUUUCAGUAAGAUUAGACAGACAGAAACCAUUAUAAGUGCCGAAUAAAUUAAAGAUAAAAAGACCGUUAGCAUUCUUAAUAAUAGCUCCAAAAGAGAUAAAAUUUAAGUUUCUAUAUAUUGUAAAAUCUACAUAAUAUUUUAUUCUGUUAACCAUAAGUUUUUACUGACUAGAAUGAAUUAUAAGGAUUAAAAACUCUUAGUUACUCACACGAAUAGAUUGCCGUUCAGUCAAAAGAUUGAAGAACCUACUUGAACAAUAUCAUGAAUACCAGGCAACUAGCAACCUAACUCUAGUACACUAGCAAAUUUUUAUAAUAUUAUAUACUGCACAUUGUGGUGCCAACUUUGCCCAUAAGGGUGGAGUCCAAAAAACUCACCAUACAUUUGAAAAAGCUUUGCAAAGAGGUAAAAGAAAUCAAAUCCAUCCUUAAAUUAAGAAGGUUCCACACUCUAUAAAAAUAGGACAAUGCAAAAAAAUAUGCGACUCAUCCUUAACCAUGCCACAUUUAGGACAAUUCACACUUCAAUCAACAGACCUACUAGCUAAGUUUAUUUGAGAUGGUAGAAUCUCUCUUAAAUCUCUUCAAAAAAAAGUUCUUACUAAUAGUAACAUGGUACCCAUAGAACCAUGAACUGAGAUAGCCCCUUCAUCAUUAAUAGUAUGAAGCUUUCAAAUCCUCUUCCACUCUCCUAGAACUAUGAACUGAGAUAGCCUUUCAUCAUUACUAAUACCAACACGGUAUCCAGACUUGUUAGAAUAUUUCUUAUCCCUAAUUUACCUAUACAUACAACCAAUCACAUUAAGAGGAAUACAAAAAAUACUAUAUACAUCCUCAAAAACAAAAAGCUCAAAAAGCAUGUGCUCAUUCCAACUAUGAUCACCCUCAUUAAUUAAGCCUGAAACCUUAAACUCAGGCAAACCAUCAAUCAGUAGAGUUUGAAUGAAAAACUUAUUCUAAUAGGGAAGCCAUGAGUCUCUCUAAAUAUUUAUUAAAGAGUCAUUUUCUAUCCUCCAUCUAACACUAGCAUUUAGCAAAUAUUUAGACUACAAAAGACUCCUCCAAAUGAAAUUAGGAUUAGAACCCAUCUCUAUCUCAAGAAAAUUACCAUCAAGAAAAUAUUUAGCUUUAAGCACACGAUAAAAAAGAGUACUUUAAUGAGAUAAGUCUCCAACCUUACUUUCCAAGUGUAACUAAAUUAAAGGCAGAUAGAUUCCUAAACCCCAUACCACCAAAUUCUUCAGCAACACAUAUACUGUCCUACGACAACCAAUAGAUUUUCCUUUGACCAUUACCAUUUGAACUCCAUCAAAAAGAAUUCAUCAUACUUUGAAACUCUUCACACAAGAAAGCUGGCAAAAGAAAAACACUCGUAUAAUAAAUUGGAAUAGUCUAAGUCACCAAUUUUAACAAUACCUCAUUUUCUACCUGAAAUAAAAGCUUGCCCCCCAAUUAUAUAUAUCCUCUCCUGAAGACUAUAAAUUAAGUAAUUAGACUAAAAUAAAGUGGUCAAUUUAUCAUAUGAAAUGCAUAAUUUUUCAACAUUAAUCAUAAUUAUUUGUAGGUGUACUUAAUUAAUUAGUUGAUUGAGAAGGCUUAGAAUGUUUGCUUAUAUAUUCUCAUAAUUCAACUAUAACUUUGCUUAUUGCUUUUGAGUGUUUUUUUUAGAAGGCUUAGAAUGACUUAUCACUUAGAAGAAGGAUAGAAAUUAGAAAUAAAAUUGGAAAGUUGGUGCAUGAAAUUAAUAUGACUAACUUCUAAUUAGGUAUAAAAUUUUAUUUAGCAUUGACAUGUUGAUGUUGCUUACCCACCAAACUUAGCAUGUGCACUAUUUCCAACAUGUCCAUAUAUAGUCUUCUCAUUGGUUAAUUUCCUUCUUAAUCUAGUCAUAACCAUAAUUACUUUAAUAAUUAUUCAAAUCCUAUGGUAUUAACAAUAAAUAAAUAAAUAGAAUUGCAUUAAGAAAAUCCAAUGGAAAGGAUUCCUAUGAUCUCAUGUUUUGUCUUGAAUAAGAUUUUAAAUCAUGUUUAAUCUAAUUUUCAAUAUUAAAGAGUGUGUAAAUAAUUUUUUAAUUACAAUUAAUUAUUCUGACAGAUACAUCUCAGUGCUCAAAGCAGCAGAUCCCAGGAUUAUUCCCUGCAAUUUUUUAUUUCAAGCAUCAUGUGAACUCUUUGUUUUUUUUUUUUAAUUUAUAUAUUUUUCACUAAAAUAUAAACUGAUACAAGCAAUAUUAUUUUCUUUCUUUUUUUUUUUUGUUUUAUUCUCUCUUCUAGGGUUUAAUCCCCUUUAAUUUGUCACAUUGUCAAUCUCUUCUACCCCACUAAAAUUAAUUAUAGUAAAAAUAAAAAACUCAAAUAUUAAGAGUUAAUUGAAAAUUUUUAAAUUAAAAAUAUUAGAAGGGCAGAUAAUAAAAUUUUGAAGAUUUUAAACAGUAACAACAAGAUUUUUUUUUUAAAAUGGAAAUUGACGAAGAAAAAUAGGAGAUCUCUUAGAUUUAUACAGAUAUACUUAUCACCAGUUUUCACAAGCGAGUGCAAGAUUUUUAAAAUUUAAAAAAGCUAAUAUAAAUAUUUUAAUUUUAAUAUAAUCUAAUUUUUUUGUAUUAUUGAAAAUAAUAUAUUAUUAUUACUAAUCGGUUCGAUUCAUUUUUUCUAUUUUUUCUGAUUAAAAUUGAAUCAAAUCGAAAUAAAUAAAAUUUUUAAAAUUAAAAAUUAAAUUAAAUCGAAAUAAAUAAAAAAUCGAAUUAAAUUUUUAAAUUAAUUCGAUUUGAUUGAUUUUUUUUGUUUGAACUGAAUACUGUUCACUCCUAAUCUCUUCUACCCACUAAAAUUAAUUAUAGUAACAAUAAAAAACUUAAAUAUUGAUUGAAUUGAAAAUUUUCAAAUUAAAAGUAUUAGAAGGGCAGAUAAUAAAAUUUUGAAGAUUUCAAACGGUUACAACAAGAUUUUUAAAACUUUAAAAAAGGCUAAUAUAAAUAGAAAUUUUGCAAGAGAAUUUGGAUAUGUUUGUAAAUCCAAAAAGAGAGAAAUAGUUGGGAAUAAUAAAGAGAGAACAAACGUCAUGGUGGAGCCCAAUGGGCCCACUGAAAGCAAUAGUUGACAACCUAUACCCUUUCUUGGCCCACGAGAGACCAAUGUGCUCCCGCUUGUCACUCAACGGCGCGUAUAAACCAACAGCCUCCUUCUUGGAUUUUAUUUUUAUAUAAUUUAAUCAUAUGCAAUAUUUGAAAUUGAAUAAAAUUAAUUAUUUAUUAUUAAAUCUCGAAUUUAAAAGCUAAUCGCCAAUAAGUCGGUAUUACUUUCGAUUGUAAAAUUUACUUUACCAUUGAAAUCUGAAUUGUGAGCACAAGGGUGUAUAAGACGAUGGUCAUAUCACAUAUAAGGAGACAACUGACAAGUGUCUUUCAGUGAAGCAGAGAAAGCGUGGAGGGGCAGCUGAGAAGAGGCGCGUGGGAUAGGGAAAAAUGGAAAAGGCAAAAGAAAGUGGGGCCCAGCAAGUUCACAUGGUUGGUGAGAGGUGGAGCCCAGGAGGACACAUAUGAAGUCACAUCACAUGUGUAAAUGUAAGAAAAUGAAAAGAGGAAAAGAAAGGGGUUGGCUUUUGGAUCGGCUCAAUAGCUUUUUCCACGCCCUGCCUGCAUCUGUGUCUCGUCUAUACUCGGCAACUCGUUUUCUAUCCAUUUUUGGGCCCAUUCUCCACUACCGUAUAUUCACUCACACCAAUUUAACCUCUGCAAGCUUAUACAUCCCUUUAGAAAAAUAUAUCAAAUUGAAUUAAUCUUUAAUAGAAAUAAUGGAAAAUUAAAUUAUUAAAUAAACUUUAUACCUACAGUUUAAUUUAGCUUUUUUUUUUACAUUUAAAUAUUUUAAAUAAUUAAAUUACUACUAACUCGAAAUGUAUAAUGUUCCAAAUUUGGUGAGUGAUUUUGGGCAGCUCCGCGCAAUGCAUGAAGUGGAGAAAUGUCUUUUUCGUCAAAUGCACAGAUCGCUAUAAAAGCAUCUCCGCAAGUGAGGCUACCCCUGGAUUUCCGUGCCCGUUGUUUUGGCAAUGGCCCCAUUUUCCGCUCUUUUUUAUUGGUUAAAAUAUUUCAAAAAUUCAUAAUUUUAGUUUAUUUUAGUUCCUUCUUUUUAAAUUUUAGUCUAUAAAUAUAUAUUUAACUUAUUUAAUUGUAUUUUUAAAAUUUCAAAUCUAUAGUUAUUUUUGUAUAAUUAAAAAAAUAUAAUUCAUACAGUUAAAAUAAUAAAUUUAUAUUAUUUUUUAACAUAUCAUAUACUUAUAUUGCUUCAUUAUUAAAUUUUUUUCUAAAUUAAUAAAUUUUAUUUUUCCAACUAGCAAAUAAAUUAUUAUCUUUAAAAUAAAAUAAUAUAUAAUUUGAAAUAUAUGGAAAAUUUAAAAUUUUUUUUAUGAUAUAUAUAUAUGUUAAUAUUUCUCAAACGGCUUGAGCCAAUUAGCCUGUAUCCUCCAUUCGGUGCCCAUUUCUUUGUUGAACAAGCUUCGGUCCACCUGGUCACCCAUUGAAUGGUAAAUUUACUCAAAGAGAUUAAAUUUCAUGUCAUCUAUUAAUUUUAUACACCUCUUUUAAUUUAAUUAAAAAUAAGCUAUUAAUCAUUGCCAUGACCAAUAAAUUUUAAUUAACAAUUAAAAUUAUAAUUUUAUUAAAUAUAAAAUAAAUUAUUUAUUAAAAUAUAUAAUUAUAUAUAGUAAAAAAAUUGUCUAAAUCCUAAAUAUAUUAUUAAAUUGAAUAUUCAUUUGCACAGAGAGUAUUUUAAAGAUAUUUAUUUAUCGUCAUUAUAAAUAAAUUAAAUAUUAAAAUAAUGAUUAUAAGAGGUGCAAGUUGCAGAUUGAUACGAAAAGAGAGAGAGAGAGAGAGAGAGAGAGGAAAAUGAGAUGUGAAAUGUGAGCAAGGGUUGGCCUACCUUGGAUAAGCAAGUACAAGAGCCUCUCACUUCUUUUCAUUACAAUGACGGAAGCUGUGAUGGACACAUUCAGACCAAAAGCUGUCCAUUUCUUGAGAGGUCACCAAGCCGAAGGGGCUGUAGCCCUUCCAUAUCCAGAAGGCAAUUGGGGCAAAAUGCCCUAAAAAGGAUGAAGACCAACCAACCCUCUCAGUGCACAGCCAGGUUAAAGAAAAACACGUGCCGGUUUUUCGAUUAUUUUUUAAAAAAGUGCAUGAAUUUCAUAUAUCAAAGGUGGAGCUGCCAUGCAGAGUAACAAAUUGAAUUGAUUUUUUUUGUGCAAUUGAAGUUUGAAAAUGCCCAAUUUUGACAAGUGAUGAGAUAGCUUUAAAUGUGAAUAAGACAUGGAAUAUGAUGGGUCUCUUCUUCUGAAAACACCACUCAUCUACUCCCCAUUGCAAAAAUAAUGCUUUGAUUUCUUUGCAACCUAUAAUUUUCAUAAGAAAAAGCAGAUAAUAUUUUAUUAUGGAACUGAUGUAUAUACAUAUGGAAUUCUUCAAGGGAAGAGCCCUAGGCCAUGAGAAAUCCAAUUAAGGAAGAAGACUCAAAGCCCAAAAAUAUAGAGAAGUGAGUAUAUAAAUUCCAAUACCCAAGAAGGCCCAAUCUCAACAAAAUAAUAAGAGAUAUAGAAAAAGGGGCCCAAAACCCUAAAACCAUAAGUGCAUGCAUGUACACGUACAUCUCACAUUGCCUUCUAAAUGUUCUAGCAAUCUUGGGUCUUGUAUCAACUAUCGUAUGCAAUGAAUUUAGGAACUUAGUUUUAUAUUUUGGGAAAUUUUUGAGUGAAUUAGAUUCACCGUGUACUCGAAAAAUAUUGCAGUGGGUUCAACUAUUUUUUUAUAUAAAGGGCUUAUCUGUUUAUAUUUUGAAAUUGUGUUAGAUCUAUGAUAAAUUAAAUUUAAAUAAAUAUUAUUUAUUUAUUUAUAUAUAUAUUCAAAAAAAUUUACUAUUUGAAAAAAUUAAUUAAUUAAUUAAUAAUUUUGAAAGAUAUAUUAAAAUAUUUAUAAUAUUUUAAAAAAUCUAUUAAUUAAUAAUUUUAUUACUUUUACCGUUAAAAUAAAAACUUAUUAGUUGGUUAUCUAUUUUAAAAAUUAUAUUAAAAUAUUUAUAAAAUUUUAAAAUUUUACUAAUCAGUAAUUUUACUAUUAAAAGAAAACUUAUUAAUUGAUUAAUAAUUUUAAAAAAUACAUGUUCUUAAAAAUUUAAAAAUUCUAUUAAUUAGUCAAUUUAUUAGUUUUAUCAUUUAAUUUUUGUGCUGUGAAAAAAUUUAUUAAUUAAUUUAUUAAUUUUAUACAAAUAUAUAUUAAUUAGUUCAUUUGUAUUAAGGGUAUUUAUAUUUAUUUAUAAAAUUUAAUUGUUAAAAUUAACAUAAAAAUUAAUUAAUAAAUUUAUUAAAAUUUUAAAAAUAUUUUAACAUAUUUUUUAAAAUUAAAUAAUUAAUUAAUAAAUUUCUCUAUUAUUACAAUAUAAUAACCGCUUAAAAAUAAUGAACUGUUAUCAUAAAAUAGGGUCACAUGAUAAGAAUUUAAUAAUGCAUAAUUGCAAAGGUGUUAUCCAUAAAAAGAAAGACUAAAACAUUAUACCACGCGCAAUACUUUAAUAAAGUUCGCACUCUUUUCAACAAGUCGAGUGUUCAUAGAAAAUUAUAAUAAGUACAUAUAUUAUAAUAGAAUCUCAUUACAUCUAUGCAAUCCUCGGUUUACUAACUGGUAUCAAUCAUAUUUUUAAAUUUUUAUAAAAUUAAAUAAGUAUAGAAUUCAAAAUAUAUAUUUUUAUAUAUUUAUUUUUAAUUUAAAACAAUAUAUUAUAUUCACUUAUUUUAUCAAUUUACUGACUUGCGGUAAAAUAACUAUUCAUAGACUCUAACCAUAUCAUCUUUUCUCUUUUACAAAUUGAGUAAUCACAAAUCGAUUUUUUUUCUACACUAUAAGACUAAAUAAUAAAUUUUAUAUAUAUACAUGAGGGGAUGUGGGUAGAGUGGGAUGUUGAAAGAUACCUAUUGCCAAUUUAUAUUAAUCGAAAGCAUGUAUUGAUUCUUGAAUUAUAAAACCAUUUCAAAGAAUAAUUAAAAUUUUUAGACACGUUUCACUUAAUAGUCAAAUUAUCUUUUUAUAUUUUAUAUUCGCAAUCAAUAUUGUUUAAGUUUAUUUUAGGCACAUUUCAAUUUAUUUUUGUUAAGAUAUUCUUUUACAAAGUUUAAAAUUAAUGUUUUUAUCAACAACUCUUAGUCCAACUAGGGCUGUGCAAUCGGUCGGUUCGAUUUCGAAUUGAACCGAACUGAAAAAACCGAAAAUCAAAUUGUAAAAAUAUUAAAAAUCGAAAAAACCGAUUAUAAAAAUAUAACCGAAUCGAAUCAAAUCGAUAAAAAUCAGUUCGGUUCGAUUCAAACCGAAAUCUAUAUUUUUUAAAAUUUUUUUCUUUUAAUUUCAGUAAAAUAAUUCAAUAAAUAUUUCACAUAAAUUUAUCAAUAAAAAUUAUCUGAAUAUAUAAGGAUAAUAUUUAAAAAAUUCAUAUAAAUCCAUAUAAAAUUUAAAAAUAUAAAUCAAAACAGUGUUUUAAAUAAUAAAAAUAUAUUAAAAAUCGGUUUUUCGAUUUUUCGGUUAUUUAACACGUUUAAAUCGAACCGAACCGAACUUUUUGAUUAACCGAACUAUUAAACCGAAAUCAAUCGGUUCAGUUCGAUUUUUCGAUUUAAACCGAUUUAUGCUCAGCCCUAAGUCCAACAACAUUAAAUUGUAAAAUCUUGAAUUUGCUUGCUUAAAUUUAUGUUAAAAAAAAAAAGAAUUCUUAAAAUAAAUAAGGAUUUGAUAUGAAUUUUAUGACUAAACACGUUAUAAAAUUGUUAUUUUUUAUUAAAUUUUAGAUAUUAUAUUAUAAAUUAUUUAAAUAAUUGAUAAAUGAAUAAGGAAGCAAAAUAAGCCCUAGAAUAAUAAUAUUUGUUAGCGUUGAGGAUGGUGUAGGAACACAACAAAGCCACGUGAGAAGGAGUAGCACGAAGAAACUGUGCUACUAAUCAUACAACCCAACGUUUUUGUCGAGGUUGUUUUACCAAAAGACAAAAACUAUUAACGAACACCAAUAAAAUCAUCCACGUGCGGCUGACUCUGACUUUUCACCUCCUAGUGACUCGCGUGGCUCAACUCUAUAUACCUCCGUGUCCACGUGCACAGCGGCAACACGUUCUGAUAUCUAAUCAACUACUUGUGGGUCCCUUGUUUGUCUUUUACUUUCAAUCCCCGCCGUCCAUUUAGCUGUUGAUUGUUGAACUUCAAGGCUGUCCAACUGUUCUGCUGGCUAUAAACACUAAUUAAUUAAAAGAUUAAACGUUUGUUCAAAAUAUUAUAUAAUAUUGAUUUAAUCUCGUAUAAAAAUAAAAUUGAAUUGAAUAUUUAUAUAAAAAUUUAUACAAAAUGCAAAAAAUUAAUUAUAUUAUUUAAUUUAAAAUAGUAUAAUUCAUUAAAAAUACAUAGUUAUUUUAUUGCAAAAAGGGAUUUUUUUUUAUAUAAAAAAAAUUUGUUUUUAAUUAUGAGCUUGGAUUGAGGUUUACGGUGAUAAUCCAUUAAAUGGGCUGUGAGAGUAGCUGUCGCUGAUUCUAGACCGACCAAUCCAGACAAAGCUCUUUCUCGGAAAACAAACAUAUUUUCUUUACAGUCUACACCCAUACGACCAGAUAUAAAGAGACCCAACCACACCGAAGAGAAUCACGUCAAGCUAAACAGUAGCGAUCCAAAAAACAAAAUCUAAGAUUUGGGUCUCGUUAGAUCUUCAGAGAAAACUGAUGGGUUUCUCAGAUUCAGAGAAAGCAUGCAAAGAUCACCCAUAUCACAAUCAAAAGCAAGGAGUUUGUCCAUCAUGUUUAAGAGAAAGAUUAUCUCAACUUUAUAUAGUUGUUUCCGGUGAGAAAGAAGCAGCGGCAGCCAUGGCUGGACCUUCUUCUUCUUCUUCGAUGUCGUUUUCAUCUGCUUAUUCUUCAAACCAUUUAUCUCCAGGUCUUCAUAAUCAUCAAUAUCAUCAUCAACGAAACAUGUCUGAUAUUAUGGGUUCCAUAUCGUUUAGGGUAAGUGCAGGAAAUGGGUUAAAGAAAAGUAGAUCGGUGGCUUUUGUGGCAAGAAGCAGCCUUGUUGGAGAUGUGAAACAUGGGACGAAGAAGAAUAAGAAGAAAGGGUUUUGGUCAAAGUUGCUUCAUUUGAAAGGAAAGAAUAAGGAGGUUAAUUUUCCGGGAAAGUUUGCGUUGAAUGUAUAGAUAUUUUGCUUCAAAAAAUGAUGAGAAGGAGAAAGCUUUUUAGAAAUUAUAAGAUGUUUAUAGCUUUAUUUUUGUGUUUUAUUUAUAUAUGAACAUCUGAAUCUUUUGUCUUUUCCUUUACAUGAAUCUUAUCAAAAAGUUUUCUGGGAAUUUAUGAUUCUUCUCCUCCAAAAUUUUCCUUCCUUUUCUUUCCUUUUCUUUUCUUUUCUUUUCCCACCAAGUAAUUGAAGAUGAAUACUUGUGAUCGAUCGCAAGCAUUAAAAUCAAACGUUUUACACAUUCUCUUGAUGCGUUUGCUUAUUGUUGUAUUUCCGUGUGAGUGUGUUUGUAAUAUUAAUUAUUGGAAAAGGUAGCGAGGUUGGUGCAACUGGUCAAAGUCUUUGAGAGGUUCUUGGCUUGUUCAUUUUCACACGUAUGCUAAACCUAACGUGUGGAAUUUGGACUUGGAAAAUUAAAAGCCGUGUUCCAUUCUCUCAUCAUUUCUAUUGUUAUUAUGUGGCUUUUUAUUUUUCCGUCUCUCGAGCUUUAAUAUUGAAAAGUUGGUUUUUUCUUUAAAUUAUUUGCAUGAACAAGAUUCAACUGUCGAGUUUCUAGCUUAUAAAUUACUAUUACAUCCAUUUUAUAAUUUUUAUUUAUUUUAAUUUUUUCUUAAUUAUCAUUUAUUAUUAUACUUUUAAAUUAAUACGAUAAAAAAUAUUAAACAAUCACUUUAAAUAUAACUAGUAUUUCUCAACUAAUUAUAUUAAUAGUCCUCAAAAUUAGUGAUAUGGGAUUAUGUUAAUCUCAUCAAUAUUAUUAAAAACCUUUCCACCAUUUUAUUUAUGACCUUUAGCGGAAUCCACCGCUUUGAAAUAAAGCGAGACGGCCACAAAUAUGCCAAAAAUCUGACAUGUAUACAGACAAUGACCUCUUCUUUAAUUGAUUUAGUUUGAGAGAGUGAUCCCUUUGAGAAGAAAAGUGAACAAGAAGACCAAAUUUUAAUCAAUUGAAAAAGCUUUGUGCUUGCUAAACAUACAUUUCAAGAUGCAUAUGCCACCUUUCAAAGUGUUAGAAAAGGCCUGUCACUCUUUGUUGGUUGGUGAAACUUUGAUGAAAAGAAGAAAAAUAGAGUAGAAGAUUUGAAAGAAAAUGCUUGAUUAUUCUCAUCAAGCCAAUUGGGGUAUAUAUACUACUUACAAGAGUACAUACAAGGUAAGAAAAUAAAUUAAUUUCCUAAUUAUAGCCUAAUCAUAUUCCAAUCAUAUCACACAAUCAUAUCCCUAAUUAUCACUACAAAUCUAGGUUAUUUACAGAAAUAAUCUCAAUAUAUAGAAAUAACCUCAACACUCCCCCUCAAGCUGGAGCGUACAUAUCAUAUGCUCCAAGCUUGUUACAAAUAUACUCUAUUCGUGAUCCUCGAAGUGAUUUUGUGAACACAUCAGCUAGUUGAUCAUUUGAGUUGACAAAGCUAAUAGAAAUGUAUCCGGACUCAAUCUUUUGCCUAAUAAAGUGGCAAUCCACCUCUAUAUGCUUCGUCCUCUCAUGAAAAACUGGAUUUGAUGCAAUAUGGAGAGCUGCUUGAUUAUCACAUAUCAACUUCAUUUGACCAGUAUCGCUAUAUUUCAAUUCCUGAAGGAGUUGUUUCAACCAAAUGAGUUCACAUGUCCUUAAAGCCAUAGCUCGAUAUUCUGCUUCUGCACUUGAUCUUGCUACCACACUCUGUUUUUUACUUUUCUAGGAUAUAAGAUUCCAUCCAAUCAUAAUACAAUAUCCUGAAGUAGAUUGUCUAUCUGAAGGAGAACCUGCCCAGUCUGCAUCAGAAUAGCCAACAAUUUGUGAGUGACCCUUGUCCUCAUAGAGUAGUCCUUAUCCUGGAGCUCCUUUGACAUAUCUGAGAAUGCGAAUGACUGCAUCCCAGUGACUAUUAUGUGGAUUUUGAAGAAAUUGACUAACUACACUUACAGCAAAAGAAAUAUCUGGUCGAGUGAUAGUGAGAUAAUUGAGCUUGCCGACCAAUCUUCUGUAUCUAGCAGGGUCUUUUAGUGGUUCCCCUUGUUCAGGAACCAGUUUGACAUUUGGAUCCAUGGGAGUAUCCACAUGUCUACAGUUUAACAUGUAUGUUUCUUCCAAUAUGUCCAAAGCAUAUUUUCAUUGAGAAAUUGCGAUACCUGUUUUAGAUUGUGCCACUUUAAUCCCUAAGAAAUACUUCAAUUUUUCAAGGUCUUUAGUUUGGAAAUGACUGAACAAAUGUUGUUUAAGCUGAGAGAUUCCAUCAUGAUCAUUUCCUGUAAUAACAAUAUGAUCAACAUAGACCACCAAGUAGAUGCAUCUAUUGCCAUUAUGUCGAAAAAACACGGAAUGAUCAGAAUCACUUCGAGACAUUUCAAACUGUUGAACUACAUUGCUGAAUCGCCCGAACCAUGCUUUUGGAGACUGUUUUAGACCAUACAAUGAGCGUCGAAGACGACAUACUAAGUCUGACUCCCCCUGAGCAACAAACCCCGGAGGUUGCUCCAUAUAGACUUCUUCGGCGAGUUCUCUAUGAAGAAAUGCAUUUUUAAUGUCCAGUUGAUGAAGGGCCCAGUGAUUAAUUGUAGCCAGUGAGAUAAGGAGACCAACAUAAGCUAUUUUGGCUACUGGAGAGAAAGUAUCACUGUAAUCAAGUCCAUAAAUCUGAGUGUAACCUUUAGCUACAAGGAGAGCUUUAAGGCAAUCAAUUUUGCCAUCAGGUCUCACCUUAACUGUGUAAACCCAUCGACAGCCAAUAGUAGACUUGCCAGGUGGUAAAGAGACCAGUUUCCAAGUUCCAUUAUUAUGAAGAGCAGUUAUCUCCUCAACCAUUGCAUUACACCAACUAGGAUAAUCCAAUACUUCUCUAACUGUCUUGGGUAUAGAAACAACAGACAUGGUGGAAAUAAAAGUAUAAUAGGAAGGAGACAAACGAUGAUAACUCAUAAAAUUAUAAAUGGGAUGUGGAUUGCGAGAAGAGCGAAUACCUUUUUGGAGAGCAAGAGGAGGAGUAGUUGUUGCUACUGAAGGCAUGAUCAAAGGAGGUGAAGAUGGAACUGGAGGUGAGUCACUAGAAGUACCUGCAUCAGGGAGAGAAGUAUCAGUGUUAGUAGCAGAUGGGUGGGUCCGACGGGUGUAGACCUGAAGGGGUGGACUGACAUGAGGCCAAGGAGAUAUAAGAGGUGUAGGUACAGGCAAAGCGCUAGGAACAAAGGUUUUAUGUGUUGGACUAGAAGAAAAGUAAGGAGAGGUUUCAAAAAAGGUGACAUCUGCAGAGACAAAAUAUCUUUUAGUAGUGGGAUCAUAGCAUUUGUAACCUUUUUGAAGCCGAGAAUAGCCAAGAAAGACGCAUUUAACUGAUUUGGGCUGGAGUUUGUCUUUACCAGGGGUAUGAUCAUGAACAAAACAUAUACAUCCAAAAACUCGCAGUGACAACUGGUUGGAGGUUUGGUUAGGAAAGAGAACCGAAUGAGGACUCUGAUGCUGCAAAACAGAGGAAGGCAUACGAUUGAUCAAAUAGCAGGCAGUAAGGACCGCCUCGCCCCAAAAACGCAGCGGAACAUUAUGAUGUAUAAGUAAGGUGCGGGCGGUUUCAAUCAAAUGCCGAUUUUUGCACUCGGCAACACCAUUUUGUUGAGGAGUAUGGGCACAAGGAGUCUAGUGAGUAAUACCCUGAAUAGACAAGAAAUGAGAAAAAGAGGAGGAAAGAUAUUCUCGUGCAUUAUCACUACGCAAAACCUUAAUGCGAACACCAAAUUGAUUAUGUAUCUCAGCACAAAAUUUUUGAAAAAUGGAGAAUAACUCAGAUCGAUUCUUCAUUAAAAACAACCAAGUGCAACGAGAAUAAUCAUCAAUAAAAGUAACAAAAUAUUGAAAUUCUAAAGUUGUACUGACACGACUUGGACCCCAAAUAUCUGAAUGAACAAUAUCAAACAUCGAAGUGGCCCUGUUAUUGACUCGCUUGGGAAAUGAAGCCCGAGUUUGUUUCCCAAGUUGACAUGACUCACAUGACAAAGAAGACAAAGAAGAAAGACUGGGGACGAUUUUCUGCAAUUUGAGAAGACUAGGACAUCUCAGCGGACGUAGUAGAAACAAAAGCAACUGAAGAGGUGGAAAGGUGGUACAAUCCUUGUGUAAUACCCGGCUAGACUCCGGUAUCGGAAUUCCUACCGUCUGGUGGAAUUUCGGAUGUCAAAAACCUCUAGAAGGGUAAAACCAUGUUUUUAUAAAAUGUUUUCAUGUAUUUUAUGGUUUUAAAUAAGAAAGAAAUUGAGUUUUGAAUGAAAAAGACCAUAGAGGGAAAUCUAGGUUCGGCCGCCGAACAUGCAUGAGUUUUGGAGUCACCUUCGGCUUCCGAAGGUGGUCUGGCCAGCCACCUAUAAAAGGCCCCAUGGCCGAAAAUGGGCGAGCUUUCUCCCCUAUUUUCGGCCAAUGGUGAUGUAAUACCCGGCUAGAGUCCGGCAUCAGAAUUCCUAUAGUCCGGUGGAAUCUCGGAUGUCAGAACCCUCUAGAAGGGUAAUACAUAUGUUUUCUAAGGUAGUUUAACAUGUUUUAAUGUUUUAAAGUGUUAAAGGAAAAGAGUUUUGGAAUGAAAAGCAACAAGGGAGAACUGCAAAGGUUCGGCCGCCGAAGGUCACUUUCGGCCACCGAACAUUGCAUGGUUUCGGAUUCACGUUCGGCUGCCGAAGGUGGUCUGGCCAGCCACCUAUAAAAGGGCCAAAGGUCGGUGAGAGGAGGGUAUUUUCUCCUCCACUUGCAGCCAGAGGUGAGCCAAAACCUUCUCACAUUGACUUUCAUGUUUUCCAUGAUUUUCAUCAAAUCUUUCAAGGGUUUUAAGCGUUUUGGUGAUUUUUGAAGGUUUUGAGCAAAAGAAGCGGAGCUUUGGAGGAAGAGAUUUUCUUCAUAUCUCCACAUUAGGAUCCUUCAUCCUCAAGUUCUUUAAGAGGUAAGUGAAGAUCCUGAGCUUCUUUGAUGAGUUUUAAAGGUUUUAUGAAGUUUGUAUGGGUAGUAUGCAUGUUUAGGUGUAGGUGAGGUUUUUUAUGAUCUUUGAGUUGAAGCAUGUUUCAGUGUUGUUAGAUGUGUUUGUUUGGGGUUUUAGGAUAGUUUGAGACCCCUUUGUGCAUAUCUAUGUGUAUGUGCUAGUUGGGAGUCGUUGAUAUGCAUGUUAUAGGUUUUUGGGCAAAGUUUGCAUGAAACAGAGCAAGGUUCUGUCCCCUGGAGAAAAACCAGGUUCGGCCGCCGAAGGAAGGUUCGGCCGCCGAACCCCUUGUGAAGGCAGUUUCGGCUGCCAAAGGUUGCCCCCGAAAGCUAGGCUUUCGGUUUAGAAAAGGGACUUUCGGCCGCCGAAAGAGGGAGUUCGGCCGCCGAAAGUAUGUGAGUUUCAUCUCUGGACGAGACCUUCGGCCGCCGAAGGUGCCGCCGAACAUGCAUGAGUUUCGUCUCUGGAGAGGGGUUUCGGCCGCCGAACCUGCCGCCGAAAGUGCCCUGUCCAGCCUUCUUUUGCAUGUUUUCUGUGAAUGUUCUAGGAUGUUUUAGAAGGGUUUUGGGGAGUUUCUUAGAAAUGUUCUUGAGUUAGUUUGGUCCCUCAUUUGUGUCCAGCUGUGUAGGAACGGACCAGAAGAACCCCAGAGAGCAGCAGUGAGUACAAGGUCAAAACUUGCAGAGUUAGCACAGAGUUAGCCAGAGGUGAGUGGAACUUACUUUAAUGUUUUAAUAUGAGAAAUGGACAUUUUAUCAUGUUUCAUGCAUCAUGACUAUGCUAUAGGCUGAGUGCAUUAGUGUACACGAAGAUGAUGCAUUGCAUUUAUCCUUGAUUCUAUGACUGUAUGGACAUAGUAAGGAUUCAAUAGCCCUCAAAGGAAAGACCUGGAACAGCCCUACGGGGACCAGGCAUAAAGACCUGGAACAGCCCUACGGGGACCAGGCACAAAGACCUGGAACAGCCCUACGGGGACCAGGCACAAAGACCUGGAACAGCCCUACGGGGACCAGGCAUAUGAUAUAGAGGGAGUGUUGAUCCGUCCAUGCUGAGAUGUGAUUACUUGUGAUGUGCUACAUUGCAUGAGAGCAUGUUUUAUCACCUGUUCUUUAUUACUGUUCUACUCACUGGGCUCUAGUAGCUCAUCCCUCUCCCCUAACUCCAGUUGUGCAGGUUCAGAGGUCAGAGGGAGGUCAGCAGGGUACAGAAAGAGUACUUUUGUAAUAGCUAGUGUGGAUAUGUAAAUGUAUAGAGAUAGUGUAUAUGUACAGUGUAUAGCAUGGUGCUUGACUUAUAAGAGUUGUAAUCCCUUUUUGUGUUUUCACAUGAUCAGUGUAUGUUUAUAUAUUGUUGUGUGUGUAUGAGAAAACCAGGCUUAACAUUAUGAGUUUUAUUCGCCUAGAGCAAUGAGGAGCUCUAGUAGGGAUUGGUAGAGAACAGAGAUAGUGCAUGCACAGGUUAAGCCUUGGAAUGAAGAAAAGUUUUUAUGUUUGACAAACAUGGAUGAUCAUGUGUGGGAUUUCACAGGUACACAGACAGGAUAACAGGCUUACUACGGGUCCCGGCGACCUUAAGUCGAUCUGGAUCCUAGUGCCGGUAGCAGUUCGGUUUCCGGGCUGUUACAGGUGAGUCCAUGCCCUCUCAUGGUUGGUUUUGAUGAUUUUCCUCAAAUCUUUCAAGUUUUAACAAGUGUUACCUUGGUUUUGAAGAUUUUUGAAGCUAAAAUCAAGUUUUGGAGCUUGGAGACUGAUCAAGCAUAAUUUAGCCACAUUUUUAUUAUAUUUAUUACUGUUUAUUUACACAUUUUUCUAGCUUAAUUUGUGUUUUUGUUAUGUUUUUACAGAAAAAGGAAGAAAUUGGAAAGUUGGAGAAAAAGUGAAGAAAAAGCUGGAAAAGUGAUUGGGUCAAAUUGAUUUGCCCAAAUCACUCGCAGAAACUGGCCAAAUCACUCGAAGAGAUAGAGACAGAAACUGGACUGAAUCCCAGAGAGCGAUUGGGGCAAAUUGGACAAGUGAUUUGCCCAAAUCACUCGCAGAAACUGCCCAAAUCACCUUGACAGCAGAAAUUGACAGCAGAGGCUGGAAAACAGCAGGGAACCAAAUUUUGAAUUUUCAGAAGUCCAAAUCCAACUCAAUCACUACCAACACAAUUCCAAGAGCCACGAAAGAGUUUCUCACCUAAGAAAUUCCAGUUGCAAUUAAAUUCAAUAUCAAAAGAAGAAUCACAAGCCAAAUUAAAAAGGAAUUUCAAAACCCUAGAAGGAUGGAAUUCUUCAGCUAUAAAAGGGCAGCCUCCAAACCAACAAGGGGCAUCUUCUGAUCAGCUACUCAGCAUCUUCUCCCCUCGCCAGAAACUCUGCAGCUUCUGUCUUUCCUUUCUUUUCAUCUUUUGUGUAUUUAGUCCACCAUGAGUGGCUAAUUUCCUUCUUUUCUAGUUGAAGUUGGUGAAUUUCAGAUUUUGUGAUGAAUUGGGAGAUUUAAAUCUCCAUUGUUAAACUUCUAUUUAUUUUCAAUAUUUAUGCAAUUUGAUCUUUCCAUAAUUGUUGCUUUGCUUUUAGAAUCAAUAAGGGCCCAUUGCUUUUAAAUUGCUUAAGUAACAAAUUGUUUGAAUGAUUUAAGUCUGUAAUUGCUUAUAUUAUUUAAACACAAAUUUAAUCAAGUUGCAUGAUCUAAACUUAGCCACGCGGUUGGCAAGGUUAGAGUUAGGUUUCUCUAAGUCUUAAUGCAGUUAACAGUUGUUCGAUGCCAAAGGCCCCAAGGACGUUCCUUGGCAACUUGUUAACUAGUGUUUGAUUAGCGAACGUUUUCUAAUCAAACUAGAACUAAGGAGGAAUUUGGAUUGUGAGAAGCGUCUUCCACAUCCUAAACUAAUUUAUUGAGAUAAAUAGGAGUAUUAAAGAAUCAAUUAUCAAUUCUAAACAAUUUGAAAUAGAUCCAUACUUCAACUAGAAGCUUUUCUCUUAUUGAUUUACUCAAACUUUAAAUUAUUGCUUUCUUUUGCUAUUUAAUGUUAAUCCAUCAACUCAAAACCCCCCUCUUUUAAUUACUUGUUAUUUACUUGACCUAGUCAUUAUUAGGAAAAUCAUUAGUAUCAAUUCUCUGUGGUUCGACCCUAUUGCCACUAUCUACAAGAUUAUUGUUGAUUUUUUAAUAGGUUUAUUUUUUACGGCUUUGACAACCGCUUAUCAGAGACCCAAGGAGCUAGAUUUCUCCCAUCUCCAAGUUAGGAUCGUCUCUCCUCUCGAUCUUCAAGAGGUAAGCUUAGAUCCUACCUUUUUUGUAUAUUUUAAGCAAGUUUUGAGGGGUUAUGGGGUAGAAAUGCAUGUUUAGAUUAAUGUUGAGUUUAUGAAUAAUGUGGGGUUUUAUGUUUAUGAGUUUGUGCAUGCACAUGUUAAGCUUGGUAAAUGAAAGGAAAAGUUUAAAUUUUUAUGUAUAUGUUUGAUCAUGUAUGGAAUUUAAUAAGUAUACAGAAUAUAUGUUAGGCUUGCUACGAGUCCCGGCGACCUUAUGUCGAUCUGGAUCCUAGCGCCGGUAGCGGUCCGAUUUUCGGGUCGUUACACCUUGUGACUCAGAUCCUGUUCCAAUCAUUCGUUACACCUUGUGACUCAGAUCCUGUUCCAAUCAUUCUCCCAGUACUCCGGUCCUGCACAACAACAGAAUUAGCAGUAAAGGUUACUGAACAAUUAAGAUUUUUGGUCAAUUUGCUAAUGGAGAUUAAAUUAUAUGGAUAUUCAGGAGUAAACAAGACGGUAGUUAAGGAAAUAGAAGGAAGAAGUUAUACAUCUCCUAUUCUUUUAACUUGAGUUUGUGAACCAUUACCUAGGGUGACUUUAGAUGGUGUAGAAGAUGAAACAAGAGUAGAGAAAAGAUUGUGAUUACCAGAGAUGUGAUCAGAAGCACCAGAGUCUAGGAUCCAUGGACCAACAGGUGAAGACUUAGUUAGACAAGCAAAUGAAUUACCGGAGUGAGCAAUGCUGGUAGAUGGAGGAUGUUGCUUAACUGCUUGGAACUGCAAGUAUUUUUUAUAGUCCUCUCCAAUUAAAGUAAUUGAAUCUAGGUUCUGAGAUUUAUUGGUAGGUUGUGGAAGUAGACCUUCUUCAUUAGAUUGGGCUAGAUGGGCUGCCGGCUUACCAGUAUUGUCAGAUUGAUUGGACCGUGGUGGUCGGCCAUGUAGUGCCCAACAUGCAUCCCGUGUGUGACCCUUUUUAUCACAAUAAGUGCAAUGAAAUUUCUUUCCUUUACCUUUGCGAUUGCCUCCUUGUCCUUGAUUUCCUUGUACAGCCAAAACUGAGGAUUCCAUAUCUGUAGCAUCACUCUUACUAAGGGAAAUACGUAAGAGCCUAGCUGACACAUCUUCUAAAGUUGGAAUAACUGAACCAGUCAAAAUUUGAUCUUUCACAGAGCAAAAGUCAUAUCGCAAUCCAAUUAAUGCCAAAACCAUAAAAAAUUUAUCACGUUGUCCUUCAUGCGCAUCAACAUCAUUAGUAAGGGGCAUAAGAGAAUUAAAUUCAUCUUUCAGAGUGUCUACUUGACCCAAGUAACUAGCCAUAUCCUGAUGAUUUUGUUGUAAGUGAACCAUAUUUGAUAGGGGUGAGCAUUCGGUCAGUUCGGUUCAAAACCGAACCAAACCGAAUAAAUCGAAAACCAAAAUUUUAGUGUUUAUGAAAACCGAACAGAACCGAUUUUGGUCAGAAACUGAAUCGAAUCAAACCGGUCUGAUUCGGUUCGAUUCGGUUUGGUUUGAUUGGUUUCGAUUUUUAAUAUUUUUUUUAUUUUUUACACUUUAUUUUUAAUAUUUUAAAAUUUAAUUAAAAUAUUUUAAUCUUAAUAUGAUUUAAUUUCUCUAUAUUAUUGAAAAAAUAUAUUAUUAUCACUAAUCGGUUCGGUUUUUUUGGUUUUUUUCUGAUCAAAACCGAACCGAACCGAAAUAACCAAAAUUUCUGAAAUUAAAAACCGAACCGAAAUUUCUAAAAAACCGAAUCAAAUUUUCAAAUCGGUUCAAUUCGGUCGAUUUUUUCGGUUUGAACCGAAUACUGCUCACCCCUAAUAUCUGACACAAGCUUAUAGAUGCGUUGUAUAUCAUUAGUAUACAACGUUUUGGCCUUAGUCCAAAUCUUACAACAAGUUUUACAAGAUUGAAACAACGCAAGCAAUUUUGGAUCCAAUGAAUACCACAAAAGACUACAUAGUUGAGCAUCAAUCUUAACCCAGUUGGAUCUAUCAGUGACAGUGAUAUCAAUGGCAUUUUUUGUUAAAUAAUCAUUAUAUCCCUGUCCCACAAACCAUAAUUCUACGGAUGCAGCCCAAGACACAUAAUUAUUAUUCCCUUGCAAGUUAACCGUAGCAAUUGAAAAGACAGGUUUAAGAGACUCAGAACCUGUAUUGAGGGCGUUUUGCUUCUCAGACAUGUCGAGAGAAAUUCUGAAACAACAAGGGAUCAAAUAGAGACCCGAAUCUGCAAAAAGGAGCCGAAUCUGCCAAAAAGAGUGCCUGUGAACAGUAAAUCUGACGACCGGACUUACUGGGCUGGGGUCGCCGGCGUCGGACGAGGCUGAAGGAAGAGUCGCCGGCGUGAAACGGUCACCGGAGGAUGUGCACGCAUCCGCGCGUGGAUGACGGACGUGUGAAGGCAGGCUGAUCUGACAACCGAACCUACUAGGCUGUGGUCGCCGGAGCCGGGCGAAGCUGGGAGAAGGAUCGCCGGCGUGAAAGGGUCGCCGGAAAGUGGUGCAUGCGCCGGCGCGUGGCCGGAAGCAAUCUGCGCAGGGUGGCGCGUGGAGGCCCGUCCGGAGGCAGUGCUUCGCCGAAAAAUAGAUCGGAGGCCGGUGUGGGGAAUGGGCUGGGUGGUGAGACUAACUGAUUUCCAGAAAGUCAUCAAAGUAAGGUGACAGGUCUGCUACUCAAAGGUGAACCAAAUUUCUUGACUCUGAUACCAUGAAACUUUGAUGAAAAGAAAAAAAAGAGAGUAGAAGAUUUGAGAGAAAAUGUUUGAUUAUUCCCAUCAAGCCAAUUGGGGUAUAUAUACUACUUACAAGAGUACAUACAAGGUAAGAAAAUAAAUUAAUUCCCUAAUUAUAGCCUAAUCAUAUCCCAAUCAUAUCACACAAUCAUAUCCCUAAUUAUUACUACAAAUCUAGGUUAUUUACAGAAAUAAUCUCAAUAUAUAGAAAUAAUCUCAACAUUGGUCGGCAAAGGCACUAAACCUAUCCACCAAUCUGUAAACAAAAAAAAAAAUGUUAAAAAAGCAUUGCAAACAUUGUGAAUAAUGUUUUCUACAGAUGGAAUCGAAAUACCAAGUUCCUCCUACAGGUGGUCAAUUAAUAAUCAUGAACAUAAAUGUAUAUUUUUUUCUCCCCUCGUGUUUUUCCUUCCAUGCGACGAUAUCAUCCGAGUUUCUCAAUUCUCAUCUCAUGUAUGUAUGAGGUCUCCAUCUGGCAGAUCGCAUCCUCCCAAAUUCAGGAAAAAUCUUCAGGGACGCUGAGCAUCAUUCUUUAUCUGUACAUCUUUGUGUUUCAAUUUCUAUAACAACCAUGUGUUCCUAUUCUGUGGACAAAUCUACCGUUAUCUUCCAGGGCCUGAUAUCAGCCCAUUCACAUCAUCAUCGCUGUUACUUCCAUGGUCAUUGGAUGGCUGUUUUAAUCUUUGGAAUAUUUCAUCAAGAGGCUCGAAUGAUGAAUUGCGGGAGACGAGUUUAGUUUCCUGGAUAUGGCGUAAAGGAAGAAAUCUUUUGGCCCCUAUGUUUGCCUUAAAUCUUUGAAAACCAUUCUUCAUUGAUUCCCAUUUUAUUGCCAAACCAGAUGGUCCUCCUGGUGUGUCGUUGGAUUCUGAGUUGCCCCCAUCAAGCAAUGACACCUUGGCAGAGGCAAUGUUGCUCUCCACAGGCCUAAUAUUGGCAUGUCUACUUUGUUCUCUCCAGUAACCAUAUUUGUUGCCAAAAGCUUCUUUGGUGGUGCUGUAUCUGCGGCCGCCUCCUUUUGAAGGUGUUGAUGUGCUUCCCUCUGCAGCAUCAGUGACUAAACUAUUUGUUGCCUUCAUUUCAACAGCAGUCUUAUCCUGUGAAUUUCACUUGGUAGUUAGACGAUGCAAUAUUGUUUUAGGAGGAUCAAGCAAAAGAAAUAUAGCGAUCACAUGAUAGAAUCCCAUUAACCAAACCUCACUAUUCCAAAACGAUCAGCGAGUAUUACUAGUCCAGUCAAAUUGUGUUUUAUAUGGGAAUAACAUUAAAAAAAAUUGAGAAACAAAAACAAGAAAAUGCCAUUAUCAUUUAAAAAGUGAAUCCAUACUGCAUUAUUGCUGCCAGACUCCAUAUCCACACUGUUAAAGUUUCUUGCCAGUGGGAUAACAUGCUCACCCACGCUUUGUCCUUGUUCCAGCCAAGUUCGCUCUGCAAAGGACACACACACACAGAUACAGGGAGAUAGAAUACUUAUAAACUUCCACACAUAUAAACGUGCAACUAAAUUUCAAGAAUCCGUAUAUUGCAUCCUGCAUUACUAUUAAAACGUGGUCAGAGCAGUUACCUUUCUGUAGGAUAAUUAAUCCUGAUGGGUCAAAUCCAUUAGUAUCAUCAACUUCAGGUUGAAAACUAAAUAUCUUCCAGCUUCCAAAGAAACCAAUCACAUGGUCAAAGAAAUUACUAGCAACCAACAGGGUGUACAAGACCAUUAUGAGAGGAUAGAUUUUGUUAAAUCCACUUCCAAAGAUCUCUAAAACAUCAUCAAUUUUGCCCAUCCGCUGCAAGUAAUGAAAAAUUUUAUGCCAAAAGUGAUUGAUGUGAGGAGAAGAUGAGAAAUAGGAGAGAACAUGGGAAAUUCCCAAGGAAAUAACACUGUUAGCCAAACAUCUAAAAGAUCUUCUCAUUAUCCAAUAAAGCAAGGUUCCCCCAAAGUGAAAGUGUUCACAUAAAAAACAGAAGACAAUUAAGCCAGACUAGAAUUUGAAUACUUCUUAAAAGUUUAUGUACCAUAUGCACACUCUAAGUAUCCUUGUACAUGAUUCCCACAUAUGGGCAUUGGUACCAGAUGAGAUAGCAAGAUAAAAGUGUUCAAUGAGUAAACAGAUUAAAUAGAUAUCAGGUAAUACUUCAUUUUGAUUCAGUUUCUCCUAUCACAAGAUAUACGUGCAUACGUGCAUCCACCCGCACAUAUAUGAGAACUACAAGGGGACUUACUGUUUCAAAUAUUGUUUUAGCAUCAAGACUGAUGAGAUUGAGAAAAUUGUACGAAAUUGGAGGAGCAUACCGAGCAACCAUCCUAAGCAACAUGUUAUUUAUCAAUAUUAGACAUCACCAUGGUUUCUUGGAAUAAGACUUGAUGAUAACAUAUCUCCAAGGAAAUACGUACGAGCAUAUCAUGAGCAAGCUGACUGAGCUUGUCUGCCUAGGUGUUAAUGAAUAAAACAUUAGCAUUCCAAUUUUGAACAAAGAGUAGUAUGUGCAGAUGCACAUAUACAUCAAAGGUAUAAGAGCCCAGACCUGAAGAGUAAACAGCAGAGAAUAGUAAAACAUAUCAUCAUAUAGGGAAUAAAACCAAUAAUAGAAUUAUCCAACAGAAGAUGAGAAUGUACCUGCACAAAAAGCUCUUGCUUUCCCAUAGACUUUAUAAGAAUUGAAAAAAGUGAGAGCUUAACUCUAGAUGGUAGCAGAGUUGCUUCAGCCAAAAGAAUUGCAGCUGACAUAGUACCCAGUAUAAUAGCCAAGAGCUUCUCAAAUUGCUUUCUUAGGAUGCAUCGCCAAAAAAAUUCUGCAAGCAAGCACAUAUUUUUCAAGAAUUUCUGAUUCAAGACAAUGCUAAUAUUUUCCGAUACAACUGAGCAACUGAAUAAAAAGCAACUGAAUAAAAAAAUCCAACUACCAGCAAAUGGGAUUCAUUAAAAUAUUACAUAAAUAACAAAAUGCAAUAUAUAUAUAUAUAGGGGCAAGACAAACCCAUCGUUGACCAUAGUCGGGUGACUAUUGAAUAUUAUGGCAUUAUGAUCUCAGCUUAUUAAUUUUCCUUCCUCUUAUCUUUUACAAAAAAAUCACCAAAUAAUUUUCCUGGUUGAGCAAUAAUGUUAUGUGGCCAUCAAAUAAAUGAUAAACCCUAAUUACAAAUCCCAAAUUAUCCCAAGCUAUGAAUGACUGAACAACCAACAAGAUCAGAACCCCCCAAGGCAAUCAUACAUCAACAUCAUCACUUAAUAACAGAAAAAAUUCAGAUCAUAAAGCACCUGUUUUCCAUUAUCUUGAAAGAAAAUGAUGUCUGUUUUGUUGAAUUACAUAACAGAAUCAUGACUCUUGAAAAAAGUUCUAAAAAAAUAGAAACAGUCCUCAUAACAUACAAUCUAAAAUCAAACAGGAACAAAUGGGUUAACAGAUGUGGUGAUUACCCAUUCUAUCGAAGAAAGCCCCCAAUUUACCAGUUCGAGCAGGUCUGAAGCUGGAAAUAUAUUUCCUGUAAUAGCAUGUGAAGGUAUUAGGUCCCAGAAAACAUUUUGCAGCUUGCAACAGGUAAAGAAAGAACUAUAUGAAAAUAGGAAACGUAGUCAGAAGCAAACCAUCUAGUUGAACUGCCAUGUUCAAAAUUUUUUAUUGUGUCUUCCAGUUCAAGGGCUUCCAGGACAAAGGUCAUGUACUCACUGCAGAAAAUAAUUUAGAUACAGGCAACAAACAUUGCGAAAUGAGAGUUCAAAGGCACUAUUCCAAACUGAUACACAAAACAAAAUCAAAUCAUGAGUAAUCCAAAAUUAUUGUUUGACAACAUUCACAAGAAACGCAUUGGAAGUGUUAAGCACCCUCCACAAUAAUUUCAUGAUACUUCUAAGCCAAAAAUCACAAAUCUGAAACAUUCACAGAUAAACUACAGUGAUAAAAAACACAGAAUGUCCCAUGAAAAGUAUUCUUCUACGCCAGAAAUUAUUAAAAACUAAAGUGUCAUGUCAUAGGUGGCAAUCUAAAUAAGAGAUUCUGACUGCUAUCCUUCCUCCCUCCUAAGAAAUUCACAAAUCUUAUCAACAAUUACACAUUAUCAUUAAGGGCCAUUAUUAUUGAUAAAUAAUAACUUGUAGCCAAUAGCUGUUAGCUGGAAUUACAGAUUGGUAAAGCUUCCCUAGCUCUUGUUGAUAAGCAAAUGACAUUAAGGAUAUUGUAGAAUGAUAAUAUUUGUUGUUUUUCACGAUAGAGAUUACAACCUAUUUAUGCAGAGACGAUAUCUAAACAGGAAAGAAAAUCAAACCUGUAAUUAUACAAUCCCUAAAAUUAAGCAACUGAUCCAUCUAUCAAUAUUUACUUCCUGUAUUAACAUAUUUACUUCUUAUAACCUAUAAUACUCCCCCUCAAGUUGGAGCAUAAAUGUUAAUAAUGCCCAACUUGUUACAUGUAUAAUCAACUCGUCCCAUACAAUUUCACAGACACCGAAUUUGUGAACUUGACUUCUUCCAAUAGUUGACGCACCCACAAAACUUCACAAACAGCUUUUGCCAUGACUCAACAUUCAGGUUCAGUACUAGAACAAAAGACCACAUUUUCUCAGUUUGAUAAAACGCCUUACACACAUCAUAAAUACGGAAAAUAUUCCCUUUGCCAGAAUAUAGAAAUUCCAAAUACUCCAUUAAUUCUUUAACAAAUUCAAAAUGAUUAAUAAGACUAAUCACCUCACUAUGAAUAAAAUUUCAAAUCUGCAGAAACAAACGAGUAUCAUCCCUCAUCCAAUCUCUACGAGUUUCAUCAGUUGAAGGAUUCUUGGUAAGAUGAUCAUCCAUUUCAAUACUUCGUAAAUAAAUACGGAUAGUUUUACUCCAAUCCAAAAAAUUAGAUCUAUUUAAUUUGUGUUCCGUGAUUUUAAUCAUCAUAAUAAUCACAUUGGUUUUAACUUCAGCUAUAAAGACAACCAACCCAAAACAAUCAAAAUAAACAAAGGAUAAAAAAAAUAGUACCCGUAAACAGUACUCGUAAAUAGUAACCGAUGACCAGUACCCGAUGAACAAUUCCCGUGAAUAGUACCCGAUGAACAAUUUCCGUGAACAGUACCCGAUGAACAAUUCCCGUGAACAAUGCCCGAUGAACAGAGCCCAAAUCUCCAAAUGUUACCCUUUAUGAAUAAUCCAAAUAAAUAGUCCUGAGUCUCUAAAUGUUACCCUUUAUGGAUAACCCCGAUGAACAGAGUUCUAAGUCUCCAAAUGUUACCCUUUAUGAGUAACCCAAAUGAAUAGAGCUCUAAGUCUCCAAAUGUUACCCUUUAUUUGUAACCCGAUGAACAGAGUCCUAAAUCUCCAAACGUUAGACGGAAUCUACAAGCUAGCAGGUGGACGUCACACCCCCCUACUAAAUUUGCGACAUCCUCAUCGCAACUGAAUCGAAUACAAUUGUUAAACCAAGACCGGACCCUCGGGCAUUGUAGUUCGCUAGUACCUUGGCGGCUCCACCUCGUCUCACACGGGUAGCCCUUUCCUCACAGGCCCACUAGCUCUGCACAUUUGGAUCUCACUGUCGCUGGAAUUGUCACACCGUCCCCUUUGUCAGAUCUGAGGUUUGUUUGCCGUUCGUAUAUUGGGUGGAGGCGUUUUUUUUUUCGGUACUGUUCAUUGGUACUGUUCACGAGAGAAGAGCAAUCAACUUUGGACUGGAAAACCAGAAUGUCAAUCUUGGAUAGCGUUGCAGAAUUAUUGUGUUUUCUGUUAGAGCAAGGUAAAUUCUAUAACAGAGAUAUAACAAAGGAUUGGAUAGAUGACUUUCUAAUUGAUAAUGAUUUUCUACCAAAGUUUGCAGAGUAUGGACGUGAAAAGUUUUUUUCAGAUUUCUCUGCUACUUGCAAAUCUGUUAGAUGUACGGCUCCUGAAAGUGCUAAUAGUGGGGAGUUUACCCAGAAGACCAGUGUUUAUUAUUAUGGUCUGAUGCUUGUGGAGAUGAUAACUGGGAAAGAAACUGUUGCUGAUAUAGUUCAAUGGUACCUCAACUUAAAAGUGUUCGGUCCGAUGGCAAUUAUGAUUUUGUCGACAAGAGAUUGAAGGAGUACAACAAAAUUGAAAUGGAUGAAAUGAUUACUUGUGCCUUAGCCUGUUUAAGUGAUAAUCCACAAGAUCGACCAGAAAUGAAUCAGAUGAGAAUGCAUGCUAUAAGGAAACAUGACGAGGAUAUUCAUGAGACUUUAAAGGCUGCAGAGGUUAUAUUUCAGGUUGGCUUCAUAGGGCACGAGAAUUUCACAUUAUUUUGUUGUUAUUAGUGGAUUAAUUAUUCGAAAGUUGAUCCUUUUUUUCUUUUUCCCCUUUGAAAUAUGAUUAGUUAUUUUAAUGUUUUAUGCAACUUACAUCUUACUUAUUGAUUGAGAUUAACUUGGUCAAAGAGUUAAAAAAAAAAAAUUAAAUCUCUACGAGAAUGGCUCUGAUACCAUGUAGAAUGAUAAUAUUUGUUGUUUUUCACGAUAGAAAUUACAACUUAUUUACACAUGAGACGAUAUCUAAACAGGAAUGAAAAUCAAACCUAUAAUUAUACAAUCCCUAAUAUUAAACAACUGAUCCAUCUAUCAAUAUUUACUUCCUAUAUUAAUAUAUUUACUUCCUAUAACCUAUAACAGAUAUAAUAUUCUUUUUAAAAUUAUUACCAUUUAUCUUAUAUCACUUUUACCUUUAACAUGUUGUAAAAAAUGAAAAAGUAGUAACAAAUAUUAAUCAAGGACUAUAAUAAAUUUUUAUAUGUUCAUAAUAAACAUUUUCUCUUGUUAAACAUGAUCUUAGCAGUUAUAGCAAAGCUUACACAUAAUAUUUCAAUAAUCAUUUAUAAUUUUAAUCAAAUGUAAAUCAUUUCAUCACAUAAAAAUUAAUUUAAAAAGAAUAACAUAAAAAUUAAUUUAAAAAGAAUAAUUUUGCAAUAAAAAACUGCUAGGACACCUACCAUCUAA